GAAUUUUGACGUAAUUUCUCUUGAUGUAGCUAGCAGGUGGCAGAGGUGUAUUUGAAAGUCAGCAGCAUUCUGACAGCGAUUAAAAUGUCCUCCGUCUCCUAGUCUUCUUGAUUCUUAAAUUCUGUGGAGCUUAAAUAGACAACAAAGCUUGUGAAACUAAUUAAGUGUUAGCAUAAAUAUCUAGCCUUCAUCAUGUUGAGCUUCCUCAAUAAAUAUUACUCCGAGUUUCUAUAUUUUUAUUUUAUAAAGCAAAAAAGAAAUAUUUAUUUUAUUUUUAUGCCACCACAGUGAAGGUACUUAUGGGUUUUAUGCCACUCGUAUACUCACAUGGGGCUUAGUAUUUUUUAACAUUUUUAUUUUCUUUUCAAGAUAGCAUGAUUAACUAAUAAUCUAUUUAAGGAAAGUAAAUAAUUAAAGGGAAAAGGGAAUGCAGAAAGGAUAAAUAUGGAUAACUACUGAUCUUACCUUUCGGCGAGGGUUCAAUGUUUUAAGUCUUCUUAACAAGACUUCUCACCGUGUUCAUUCUUCAGGUGCGUCAUUUGAUUCAGGUGCGGACCUUGACGUCUGCACCUCUUCGUUUGCCCAGCAGUUCAAAGUGUGGCGUUGGCAGUGUCCUGCUCAGUGUGUUUGUGCUCGUAGAUCCAGAUCCUUCACUUGGUAGAGUCUAAGAGUUAUAAAACUCCUCCGUGUUUUGCUCAAAGUGCACCUGCUUAUAGAGACAAGGCAGAGAUCAAGUGCAUGGGUCCUGUUGGUGGAAAACACCAACAGAACCUAAAGUGUAUUUGUUCUUCUCUAUCCCUAAGCAUAGUGAGCAAGACAAAGUUGAUGGAUGAAAGUUCAUGAGUGUAGCACUUAUAACAUUAGUCAGAUCAGAUUACUCAACCUUAUGGAAAGACAAUCUAUCUAUGUAUAUGUCUUUUUCUUUAUAUCUCUCAAAGAUUGAAUGUGUAGCAUUUUAGCUCAUAUGAUUAGGAGUGUGGGUUCAUGGAGGUAGUACUAAGAACAAGGAUAAAAGGACUAAACAUGUUGAAUCAGUUGGGUUGGUUAAUCUAGAGUUGUAAAUCAUACAUGUUUGUCUCUUUUGUUUAUAUGAACGCUAGAACCAAGAGAAGCUUAUAAAAGUGAUAGUCAAGUAUCUUAAGAUGUUACCUUGCUUGAAGAGUGAUGGUACAGUAUCACCUUGUGGAAGCUUUUCUUUCUUAGCGGUUGUGCAUCGUGUUUGUGGCACCCUCCAUGGAUCAUCUCUCUAUGAUGAAUGAGCUAUGUCCUUCUUGUGCAAAUUGUUAAACUCAUCUGUCACUCUCUUCGUCUCUGAUGUGAGUUUAUCUCAGGACUUCCCAAAUCAAUAUUGAAAGUUUUUCUGCAGGGGUUAGUCUGACAAAAAUAUACCAAUGUCUACACAAGAAGUUUUUAGUUCAAUAACCGAACUAGACUCCAUGUCUAAUCAGAUUAAGGAAGGCUAUUUAACCUAAGCACCAUGCUUAAUUUAAAAGCCAAUAGAAGUAUGUGCAGUACUGCCAAACUAACACUUACUAGUAAAUAGACAAAGGUAACAUGACAGCAUUUAUAGAGAUCUACUCAAGUGGAGAUGAAGUAGUGUGAUUAGUAUUUAACAAAUUGAGCAUGUCUUAAAGGUAGGGACAACCAACAUAGCAACAUGGAAAAUGAUGUUUUUAUGUAAAGUACUCCCCCAAGCAUGAAUUUUGCAGAAUUCAAGUUUGGAUGAAUUUAAUUCAGUGUUCCAUGAUGAUUGGUUGGACAUACCUUGUACUUGCUUGUCAUUCAUCUGUUCUUCUUGUUCCAAUCCUAGAAAGGUUAGUGACAAGAAUACCCGAAGGAAUAUUUUUACAAUUAUCCUUAUAUGCUCAAUACACAAGGUAAUGUUGCAAAUAAUUAAAAACUCAUGUUAUGAUCUGAUCAGUGCUUAUUUUAGGACACCAAGCUUGUCCUUGGGAAACCAUCAAUUUAUGUCGGCGAAGUGGUUUCCCUUCCAACACUGACCUAAAUCAAGAUCUACUCAACGAGAUCUGCAAUAUUUAUUAUAGACAUAUGCAUCGACAACCGCCCUUUUAAAGUUUUUAUAAAUAGAAAGGAAGAGGGGGGUUGGAGAUCUCAAAUGUGGUGAUGUUGGAGAGACCAAUAGAUUGGGAAGAUGUUGCAUAUGAGCAUGGAGUAGACAAAGUGGCUAUGAAAUAAAUUCCAUGCUCAUUAAUGUUAUCUUCGUCUCUAAUCUGAAUGUUUAGAGUUUCUCUUGGAUUGGUCUCACUUAUGUCCUCUUCUAUAGUUGGAUGAAUCCCAUCUUCAAAGGGAGUCAAGAACUCACCAUUUGAAAUUGAACCAAAGUCAGAAUUCAUUAAGGCUUCUUCCUUAUCCAUCCAUUCUACACAUUCUAGCCAUUUAGAACUUGUGAUCAGGAAAGGGGAGGUGUUAGAAUAUUCAAUAUGGCUUAGCUCUCCUUCACUUGAUAUGUCAUCCUCAACUUCUUCAUAACAGGAACCAGGACAUUCUCUAAGAGAACCAUUAUUGCGAGGAUUUGAAUUAUCCCUGCUUGAAGGUCUCUUAUGGAACCAGAAGUCUAAACCAUCAGCAUCUGAAAGAUUUAAGGUCGGAAUUCCUUCCUCCCUUGGAGAAUUUUGGGGUAUUGAUGGUUUAGGAUCGAUAGCUAAAGUUUGGAAUUGAAAUGGUUGUGAUCUGGCUAUCAAAACUUCUUCUUCUUGUCUAGGACCUGGUUCUGUCUCUUUCUCAGGAAUAUAAAAGCUAGGAGACUUUCCGCUCAUUAAAUCAGUCAAAUUCCAAGCUUCACUAGCGGAUAGGUGGUGGAAAGAUCCUCCAGAGGCCGUAUUCAAGGUUUGCUUAUUUUCCCCACUAAGUCCCUCAAAAAAGUGAAUUAGAAGAACUUCUUCUGGAAUAGAGAGCUUUGGGCCAGUGAGAGUAAGGUUAAUAAAGCGGUCCCAUGAUUUCCUUAGAGAUUCUUCUUCCAGUUGUCUAAAAGAAAUAAUCUCACACCAAAGUUCCGCCACUUUGGAGAUUGGAAAAUAUUUAGAAAGAAAACUACUAUAUAACUCCUUCCAAUCUCUAUGAACACUCCCUAUUUUGAGUUUGUACCAAUGUCUAGCUUUUCCCGUUAAAGAGAACGGAAAGAGCUUCCAUUUGAGGGUCUCAUCGGACAUUCCUUCUAUGCGAAGGAGGUCACAGACUCGAUAAAACUCUCUUAGGUGUGUGUAUGGGUUUUCCUCACCUUCUCCUGAGAAAGGUUGUUUUUGAACAAAUUCUAUGUAUUCGGGGUCUAUCUCAAAACUAGAUGCUAUGAUAGGCUUUGAAGAUUUUGGUGGUUCAAGAUGUGUGCCCGUAGGUCUAUGAAAUUCAUAAAUAGACAUGUUUGAAUUCAUGAUAGACCAGAGAUCAAGUAUUAGAUAAGAAGAAAGAUUAGCAGAGAUGAGGCAAAGGAUAAAACGAAAAUAUAUUUUUUUUAUUUUUUAGAAAAUGAUUAAGCUAGUUCGUAGUCAACUCAGCAACCGAUUCCCCAGCAACGGCGCCAAAAAUGCUUGUUGACACUUGCUAACACCACUUGAAUACUAGGUUGUCAUCCCCAGCAUGGCACUAGAGAGUACUAUGGUAUUUAUACGCACACAGAUAAUCCGCAAGCGCACGGAUACCGUUGAAGCUUUUGCCCGGUUAAAGGUUUUAUCGUAUCCACAGGGAAACGGGAGAACCAACUACGCUCUAACUUAACCAAGAUAGAUGGAUAGGUGUAAAUAGGAAAGAUGGUAGAAUUGAAUAAGAACAAUAUUAAAGGUAAGAUAACAAUAGGUGAUAAUAUGGGAAUAGAGAGUAGAGCAAUUCUAUUAUAUGGGCGAUGGUAGCAGAAUAGAGAGAAUAACUAUGGUUUCUCUACUUCAAAGGGGUAUGUCUAUGUCUGGGACGAACCACGUGAUAAGAGUACACCACAAAGGAUGCUUAUCCUUAGGCCGAUAAACCCUACCCGUCCUACUAACGAGAGGUGGACUACAGAGGACCAACGUAACUGUCACCUACGCGGCCUACCACACGAUCCAGCUAGACAAGGGAUAUCCACAAGUAAUCUAGGUCUAAGCACCACGCUUACACCUAUACUACAACUCUAACCUAUAGCGUCCUAUAGAUUAGAAGUACUCAAAAGAGUUGUGAACCAGAACAUACAUGAUUAGUAAUUGCAUAAUGAAUUAGAAGUAGAUUACCAGAGUCAUCCCAUGAGUAAGCUUGAUUAGUGCUUGAUCAUGACGAAGUACAACCGGAGGAAGAACCGACAGGCCGGCCUCUCCUCUAAUCCUCCUUCGCUCUCCAUCUCGCUACUAUCUAGAUCUACUCUAGUUUAGAGAAGAGAGGAGAGCUCUCAUCUCUAAACCCUAGCUUUUGCUCUGUCUAUGAAUAAUGAAUAAUGAUCAAGGGGUGCCUCCUCCAGGGGCCAGGGGGUCUGGUUUUAUAGUACCCUCAAGUGAACCGGCCGUUAGAUCAAACCGACAUAGAUUGAAUGGUUAUCCUUGAUCCUUUAGGUCGGUAGAGAUCUCCCACGAAGUAGAGUCCUGAUUGGACUCUCAGAGGGGGCGGGCGCCUUGCCUCUGGCCCCGUUUCGCCUCUGCUUCGGUCUCGUGGCUUCUGGAGUCUUCUAGAUGUAAGAUAAUUGCGCGGCACGUUAAUAUCUCUAUGUAAUCCCGACGUGUGGGCCUUUCUUCCGUAUUUCCUGAUAACCCCCUGCAGAAAUAGACAAACACCAAAACUCGUGGAAUUCUGUCAGAUAAAACCCUAAGUCUAGAUGUUGAUUUCAUUUGGAUCCUUUUCUUUGUUUAUUUGAUAAUUAAAUUUGAUACUUAAAGGACCGUCAAAUUCGGACCCGCCCAACUCUUCUGGGCGCCCGCCCAGCUACAGUGUCCAAUUCGGACCCGUUUCGCGGAUUAUGCUCCACCGUCCUAAAGGAUCAAGGAAAACCGUGCGAUCAAUGUCGGUUUGAUCCGACGGCCCAGAUUCACUUGAAGGGACUAUAAAACCAGACCCCCUGGCCCCUGGAGAGCAUACCUCUUCUACAGAAUCAAAGUUAGGGUUUCAAUUCUUCAUCCAAGUAGAGAGGAUCCCUCUAGUUCAUCUAGUUCUACCUCUAGUAAAUCUAGUUCUAGUUCUAGUUCAUCUAGUUCUAGUUCUAGUUCAUCUAGUUCUAGUUCUAGUUAGUUCUAGUUGUAAUCUAGAAAAUAGGGAGAGAGAAGAGGAGAGCGGAGGAGGAGCCGGAUCUGUCGGAUCUUCCUCAACAUUAUACUUUUGCAGCAUCUGGUUCGUUCUUCAUUGUUCUCCAGGUUCUUCAAUUCAUAAUUCCUGAGUUCUUUAAUUACUUUUAUUUACAUUCAAGUUAUUUAUUGGAUUCCCGCUUGCAUCAAGUUCUCUAGUCUUUAUAACGCUAGAGUAGUAAUUAAUAGAUUGGACGUGGUGUUUAGUCUUGCGAUUACCUGGAAUUGCACCCAAUCCUGCGGAUUGUUGUGGUAGCCUUAGGGUAGUGACAGCCCUAACGGUCGACGUAUUCCACCACGUUCGGAUCGGUGUUUGUAGGACCGUAGUCAGACCUUCCUAGCCCCCUUCUCAUCUCUUUCUGUGGUUAGUGCUCUGAUGUCCCAAUAUAGAUAAUCUUGAAGUAAUUCUUGAUUCUUAGAUCAACUAGAGAACUCUCAGGAAACUUCCUCUCUUCCCACCAAAAAUAUUCAUAUAGUUAUCCUUGGGCGAUCUUGGAUCUUAAUUAGUACACUCACGUUCCCUGUGGAAAAUCGAUACUCUGGAAUACUCCCGGGUGAAGGCUACAUCGGUAUCCGUGCGCUUGCGGAUUUUUCUGUUUGCGUUUAAAAUACCUAACAAGCUUUCUGGCGCCGUAGCCGGGGAACGAUAGCUGUGCUAGUUUUGAACCAAGUUGUCCGUGUAUCCUUUUUCUUUUCCUUUCUUACCACACUCACCUUUCAUUUUUACCAUACCACAUGGAUUUCACUCUAAGCAUUAGUGAGCAUGGAAUUUAUUUCAUAGCCACUUCAUUUACUCCAUGCUCAUAUGCAACAUCUUCACAAUCCAUUGGUCUCUCCAACAUCACCACAUUCGAGAUCUCCAACCCCCUCUUCCUUUCUAUUUAUAAAAACUUUAAAAGGGUGGUUGUCGAUGCAUAUGUCUAUAUUAAAUAUUGCAGAUCUCGUUGAGUUGAUCUUGAUAUAGGUCAGCGUUGGAGGGUAAACCACUUCACUGACAUAAAUCAAUGGUUUCCCAAGGACAAGCUUAGUGUCCUAAAACAAGCACUGAUCAGAUCAUAACAUGAGCUUUUAAUUAUUUGCAACAUUACCUUGUGUAUUGAGCAUAUAAGGAUAAUUGUAAAAAUAUUCCUUCGGGUAUUCUUGUCACUAACCUUUCCAGGAUUGGAGCAAGAAGAUCGGAUGAAUGACAAGCACAAGGUAUGUUCAACCAAUCAUCAUACAACAUUGAAUUAAAUUCAUCCAAACUUGAAUUUUGCAAAAUUCAAGCUUGGGGGAGUACUUUACAUAAAAACAUCCUUUGCCAUGUUGCUAUGUUGGUUAUCCCUACCUUUGAGACAUGCUCAAUUUGUUAAAUACUAAUCACACUACUUCAUCUCCGCUUGAGUAGAUCUCUAUAAAUGCUCUCAUGCUACCUUUAUUUGCUUUAGUAUAUGUCUAGGUUGGAGUAGUUUCAUUUAUCUCUUAAUUAAGCUUGGUGCUUAGUUCAGGAAUGAUGAUCUUACUUCCAAGGGGUUUUAAAUUAAGCAUGGUGCUUAGGUUAAAAUAGCCCUCCUGAAUCAAAUUAGACAUGGUGUCUAGGUUGAUUUUUGAGCUGAUAGUAUGCUAUAGUAGAUAUUGGAUAUUUUGUUGGACUAACCCCUGCAGGAAAACUUUCACUAUCAACCUGGGAAGUCCUGAGAUACACUCACAUUGGAGACAAAGAGAGAGACACAUGAAGUUUAACAAUUUACAUGAGGAAGGCAUAGCUCACAAGAGAUGAUCCAUGGAGGGUGCCACAAACACGAUGCACAACUGCUAAGAAAGGAAAGCUUCCACAAGGAGAUACUGUACCAUCACUCUUCAAGUAAGGUAACAUCUUAAGGUACUUGACUAUCACUCUAUAAGCUUCUCCUUGGUUCUGGCGUUCACAUGAAUAAAAGAGACAAACAUGUAUGAUUUACAACUCUAGAUUAACCAACCCAUUCGAUUCAAUAUGUUUAGUCCUUCCACCUUUGUGAUCCUACACUCCUAAUCAUAUGAACUAAAGUGUUGCACACUCAAUGUUUGGAAGAUAUAUAUAAAAAACAUAAGUAUCGAUAGAUUAUCUUUCCAUUAGGUUGAGUGAUCUGAUCUGACAAAUGUUUUAAAUGCUACACUCAUGAUCUUAUUAUCCAUCAACUUUGUCUUGCUCACUAUGCUUAAGGUUAGAGAAGAACAAAUACACUUUUGGUUUUGUUGGUGUUUUCCACCAACAGGGCCCAUGCACUUGAUCUCUGCCCUGUCUCUACGAGCAGGUACACUUCGAGCAAAAUAUGAAGGAGUUUUACAACUCCCAGACUCCACCAAGUGAAGAACCUAGAUCUACGAGCACAUACACAAUGGAGAUACUGGACACUCAGUCAAAAGAGGCGAUCCAGGACGCCCCGUCAUCCCGAUCUCCAUCGGCAUGGUGGACUUCCUAGAAGCACUCUGCGACUUUGGCUCCAACGUCAACAUUAUGCCCAAGGUACUCUAUGAAAAAAAUUCUUUACACAUCCUUUACUAGAAACAACCAUGUGCUUGUAGCCUGCAGAUCAGACACUAAGUUUCCCAAAGAGAAUAUUGAAGAACCUCUGCGUCCGAGUUGGUACCUUGUACGCCCCAGCAAACUUCGUGGUGAUAGAGACUAGUACUGAUGAGAGGGCACCCAUCUUAGGGAGGCCAUUCCUGAACACCUCGGGAGCUGUCAUCUACGUUAGUGCUGCCAAGAUCAGUUUCUACAUCAAGGGGAGGAAGGAGACGUUUUCCUUCAAGAACAAGACUACACAAAUCUCAGAGCAAUCCCGACAUGAACCAACAGGAGGAACAGAAACAAGCAAAUGUAGACCGAGUCAGCUAAGAUGGUCACUGCAGUUCAAGGAUGUCAAGAUCGUUGACUUAAGUCACCGUUCCUGACCAAAAAGGACGACCCAGUCACCUGUCAGCUCCUAUUCAGAACCAUGCCCCUAAAACCGACAUACAUUCAGCUCCAGAUGGCAGAUCAGACAUUCUGAAAGGUUGAAGAUUUUUAGGUUAUUGACAUGGGAGAAGACGAGUACGAUCCACCCAUCAUCCUUGAGAGGCCGCUCCUCAGCACCGAUAAAGCAAUCAUCAACAUUGGAACCGGAGAAGUCCACAUGCACUUCCCCUCUGAGAAGGUACGCCGCUAUUUUACUGACCCUAACUAUAUCGUUGAAGACUCUAAGCAGGUCAGGACAAGAAGAAGACGACGCAACCACAACCAGAGGAGGCAAAUCAUCAAGGACGGAUGGGUAGACAAUGAAGGAGAAGUAGUAAGGUCUGAAGACAUACAGCUUGAUCAGAACUGUCCUGAGGAGACCGUAGCACCGAGUCAAGUGUGUAGAGAGAAGAUAGUUAUACAUGAAGAGCAGGCGCCGCCGGAACCACCGACUACGCCAUCCAGCGAAUCCCAGGACGACUGAGAAAACGGAGAGUCCCGUUCGGAGGACUUAAAAACACCGAACGCCUUGCCAAGAGGUAAACUUGGUAGUUAUCUUUUUCCUUUCAAUUAUUUAAAAUAGUUUGCUUAGUUAAUCAGGUUCAUAUCAUCUUGAAAAGAAAAUAAAAAUGUUAAAAAUAGUAAGCCCCAUAUGAGUAUGCUCAUGGCAUAAAACCCAUAAGUACAUUCAUUGUGGUGGCGUAAAAAUAAAAUAAAUAUAUAUUCCUGUCCUAUAAAAAGAUUUAUGAUCCUACUAAAAAGAGUAACAUCUAUUGAGGAGGCUCAACAUGAUAAAGGCUAGAUAUUUAUGCUAACACUUAACUAGUUCCACAAAGCUUUGUUGUCUAUUUGAGCUUCACUGAAUUCAAGGAUCAAAGAAGACUAGCAGACGGAGGACAUCCUAAUCGCUGUCAGGGUGCUGCUGACAUUCAAAUACACCUCCACCAACUGCUAGCUACAUCAGAAGAAAUUACGUCAAAACCCAGCUUGGGGGAGAGCAACCCCAUUUAUCCAGCUAAGUGCUCUACUCAUGUUUAUACUUUACUCUAAUAAUAAAAUUAUGCAUAAUCAUAGAAACCCAAAUAAAGAUUUUGUGCAUAUAUAUAUCUUUGCUUAGUUUGCUAAAUAAAUAAAUAAAUAAAGUCUGCUAUAAACCAUCAUGAUAAGCUCUCACAUGGAAAUGAUGAAUAGUUGCUCUGCCAUGACUAGUUCUCAAAAUUGAAAUCUCUCUUUUAAGUUUAGGCCUGGCUGUUAUUAAUUUGCUCUAAACCUGAACUUGUGGGAAGAGUACUUGAUCUGAAGUCUAAGUCGUUAACGGAUAUGAUAUGGGAAGGUUGAGCUACUGUCUAUCUGUUCCUAGAGAUGCUAGAAUUCUGGAGAAUUUUAUCUUUGAAAAUCAUUAAAAUAACACAUGAUGAGUUCCUGUAUGAUGAGAGUUUAAAUUCCUACCACAGCCAUAUAUACAUGCUUGCUAGACUUUGAGCCACACAUUUACUUUUUACUGCUUAUGAGCAUUGAGUGUGGUCAAGCUGUGUAGACCCUUAGGAGCUUGUCAUGUGGUUAAAUCAAGAUUCACUUGCACGUUCAGUCAUACAUGCUACUUCUACUUCGGAAGUAUGCAUCCACAUAUAUCCAUCCAUUUCCAUCUCCACAACGACCCAAAAAUAUUCUACUCCUAAUCCGGGAGAGAAUAGCCAAAAACAUUCUCUUAUUUCUGUUUUUCCCUGUGAAAUAAAUGCUCAAGUUAUCUUGGUUACUACCACUUGCUAUAUUAUUUCAGGAGAUGAGUGCUCUAAAAAAAGAAAAAAAAAGAAAAAAAAAUACGAGGAAAUAAAAAGGGGCAAGUGCCCGGAACCUCGAAAGAAAAAAAAAAGUGAGACGAGAGGUAAAAAUGGACAAGUGGCCGACAGUAGAAUUAGGGGUAUAAGAUACCCACCUGAGAGAAAAGAAAAAAAAAGAGAAAAUAUAGAGCAUCUCAUUCUCCUCAAAAAAGUUUCAAAAGAGCAAGAAAGGUAUGUAUCCCCUCAAAAGAGCAUAAGCAGAAUUAGACUUUCACCAUUGUUAUCACCAUCAUCACCAUACACCAUUCAUUCGCCACACAUGCACAUCUUGAUUUGACUUAUUGACUUGUUCUUCUGGAUCCAUGGUUUGACUAUGCAAUAAAUGUCUUGUAAGUAUGUAUUAGUUGUCUCCCACCUAUGAGCUCCAGAUAUCAAAAGCCUUAUUAGAGUAGGGUGAGAGAGAAGGCAAUGUCACUUUGCCUCAUACCAAAAAUACCACAUACUUUGAGAGAAGGCAUAUACCAUUACUGCCUUGGUAAGGAUCCAGAAAUACCACAAAAGAGAGACUAGAGAGAGUCAUACAAGGAAUCUCUCAGUUUUAUUUGAAAAUCUGCAAAAACUCCAGAGCUAUAGUUAAUCGAAGAACAAGAGACAUGGCGCUUGACUAGACCGUUCUAUCUUUUAACUACUCAAGACAGAAGUGACGGUUACAAGUCCCAUGGUUAAAGGUAAAUGAGUAAGUUUUAAGUCUUAACAGUUUACUCUAACCAGAGAUGAGAUCUUGUUUAAACGCAUGUGUAUCUUUAAGUUAUGAAACCACUGUAGAAACUCUUGAGUUCAUCUUUGCUCAGGGACGAGCAAAGGUUAAGCUUGGGGGAGCUUGUUGACGGUCCUUAAUGCUCACAUUUAACCAUCAACUAAUCAUGGAAAAGGAUCUAAAUGCAACCAACACCUAGACUUAGGGUUUUAUCUGACAAAAUUCCACGAGUUUUGGUGUUUGUCUAUUUCUGCAGGGGGUUAUCAGGAAAUAUGAAAGAAAGGCCCACACGUCGGGUUUACAUAGAGAUAUUAACGUCCCGCGUAAUUUUCUACCAUCUAGAAGACUCCAGAAGCCACGGGAACGAACGGGAGGCCGAUCGGGCUCGGAGGCAGGGCGCCCGCCCAACUCUUCUGGGCGCCCGCACAGCUAAAGUGUCCAAUUCGAACCCGUUUCGCGGAUUAUGCUCCACCGACCUAAAGGAUCAAGGAAAACCGUGCGAUCAAUGUCGGUUUGAUCCGACGGCCCAGAUUCACUUGAAGGGACUAUAAAACCACCUGGCCCCUGGAGAGCAUACCUCUUCUACAGAAUCAAAGUUAGGGUUUCAAUUCUUCAUCCAAGUAGAGAGGAUCCCUCUAGUUCAUCUAGUUCUACCUCUAGUUCAUCUAGUUCUAGUUCUAGUUCUAGUUCAUCUAGUUCUAGUUCUAGUUAGUUCUAGUUGUAAUCUAGAAAAUAGGGAGAGAGAAGAGGAGAGCGGAGGAGGAGCCGGAUCUGUCGGAUCUUCCUCAACAUUAUACUUUUGCAGCAUCUGGUUCGUUCUUCAUCGUUCUCCAGGUUCUUCAAUUCAUAAUUCCUGAGUUCUUUAAUUACUUUUAUUUACAUUCAAGUUAUUUAUUGGAUUCCCGCUUGCAUCAAGUGCUCGAGUCUUUGUAACGCUAGAGUAGUAAUUACUAGAUUAGACGUGGUGUUUAGUCUUGCGAUUACGUGGAAUUGCACCCAAUCCUGCGGAUUGUUGUGGUAGCCUUAGGGUAGUGACAGCCCUAACGGUCGACGUAUUCCACCACGUUCGGAUCGGUGUUUGUAGGACCGUAGUCAAACCUUCCUAGCCCCCUUCUCAUCUCUUUCUGUGGUUAGUGCUCUGAUGUCCCGAUAUAGAUAAUCUUGAAGUAAUUCUUGAUUCUUAGAUCAACUAGAGAACUCUCAGGAAACUUCCUCUCUUCCCACCAAAAAUAUCCAUAUAGUUAUCCUUGGGCGAUCUUGGAUCUUAAUUAGUACACACACGUUCCCUGUGGAAAAUCGAUACUCUGGAAUACUCCCGGGUGAAGGCAACAUCGCUAUCCGUGCGCUUGCGGAUUUUUCUGUUUGCGUUUAAAAUACCCAACAGCGCCCAGGUCAACUGGGCGGGCGCCCAGUGCCUGGCCCCGUUCGGCCUCCGCUUCCUUUCCAUGGCUUCUGGAGUCUUCUAGAUGUAAGAUAAUUGUGCGGCACGUUGAUAUCUCUAUGUAGUCCUGACGUGUGGGCCUUUCUUCCGUAUUUCCUGAUAACCCCCUGCAGAAAUAGACAAACACCAAAACUCGUGGAAUUCUGUCAGAUAAAACCCUAAGUCUAGAUAUUGUUUUCUUUUGGAUCAUUUUCUUUGUUUCUUUGAUAAUUAAAUUUGAUACUUAUGGACUGUCAACAAACUCCCUCAAGCUUACCUCUUGCUCGUCCCUGAGCAAGGAUAAUCUCAGCGAUGGAUUGGAAGUUGUUGUAAUGCCUUUAAAAAUUGACGGUACACAUGCUUUUAAUUGAGGUCUCAUCUCUGAGUUAGAGUAAACUGUCAAGACUUAAAACUUAUUCAUUUUACCUUUCAACAUGGGACUUGUAACCGUCACUUCUGUCUUGAGUAGUUAAAAUAUAGAACAGUCUAGUCAAGUGCCAUGUCUCUUAUUCUUGAUCAGCUAUAACUCUAGAGAUUUUUGCAGAUUUUCAAAAAAAAACUCAGAGUUUCCUUGUAUGACUCUCUCAAAUCUCUCUUUUGUGGUAUUUCUGGAUCCUUACCAAGGCAGUUAUGGUAUAUGCCUUCUCUCAAUAUAUAUGGUAUUUGUGGUAUAAAGCAUAGUGACAUUGCCUUCUCUCUCAUCCUACUCUAAUAAGGCUUUAAUAUCUAGAGCUUAUAGGUGGGAGAUAAAGUAUACAUACUUACAAGACAUUUAUUGUAUAGUCAAACCAUGGAUCCAAAGAAACAAAUCAAUAAGUCAAAUCAAGAUGUGCAUGUGUGGCGAAUGAAUGUCGUAUGGUGAUGAUGGUGAUAACAAUGCUGAAAGUCUAAUUCUACUUUUGCUCUUUUGAGGGGAUACAUACCAUUCUUGCUUUUUUGAAAAUUUGUGAAGAGAAUGAGAUACUCUAUAUUUUUAUUUUUUCUUUUCUCUUAGGUGGGUAUCUUGUACCCCUAAUUCUACUGUCAGACACUUGUCCAUUUUUACCUCUCGUCUCACUUUUUCUUUUCUUUCGAGUUUGUAACACCCAAAAUUAGCUUUCCAAUUAAUAGGGUUUAAUUUGAGUUAUUUAAGUAUUUUGGGAGCAUUUAAUUUAGUAAAUGGAUAAUUUUGUUGAAACUAAAAUUUAUUAUAAGGAUAGAAACUUGUAUAUGCAUUCAUGCUGGGGCACAUUUUGUUUUGUGUUGACUCCUUUUGGUUUGAUUUUAGUUGUACUCGAAUUUCUAUUUGGAAAUGACUUUAAAAAAAAAAAAAAAAAAAGAAAAAGAAAACAAUGCUUCACCCUCUCUCGGUUUCGGCCUGGCGACCCUCAGCCUGGCGCGGCCCAUCUCCCACUCCCUCCCGCACUCGGCCCACUCUCUCCCCCCGGCCCAACGCGCGCGCCUCCUUCUCCCCUUCGGCUGACGACCGGGCCCCGCCCCGCUUCUCUCACUGGCAGCGCGGGCCCGCAUGGCAGCGGGCGCCUUCUCCUCCUUCCUUCUUCACGAGACGGAGCCGAACCAGACUCGACCGGCGCCAACCAAAAUCCCGAUUCUCCCGGGAUUUGGCAUGUUGAGAUCAAACCGAGCCCUAUAAAGCUCCUAGUGAUGCCCCGCGUCUCGGUUUUCCAUCUACGCCGCAAGAACUCUGACCUAGGACCCGCUGUCGCGCUAAAACGAAUCUCACCGAGUUUGGGAGCACCCCCUGUCGCCGCGAGCCUUCCCUGUUCUCCCCUGGUGCGAGCAAGGCGUCUAGGUGAGUUCCUGGUGAGUUUCUCCACCGCCUGGUGGUUUCGUUUUCUUUUUCGUGCUCUGAAUCGAAGAAACGGCGAGCUCCAGGGACCAUGCCCAUGGCGCCGCCGUGUCGGGUGCCCAUCCGGCCGGCCGGCCGCCGCUGGCCCCCUGGUGGGAUUUCCACCGUUGGAUCCAAGAUCCACGGCCACAAACAGAAGAUACCCCUUCGGGGUGAAAUUUGUUAAAGAGCCCCUGGAAAAGUUGAGAUUAAACCCGCAGUCCAAAGCGCCUCCUCAGUUUUACGCCUUUCGUUUUCAAAAACGUAUUCUCUGCGGGCUGAGUAAAUUACGCUUUCCAGAAAUUACAGAAAUGCCACUGAUUUUAUAAUGCUCAUAAAAUAUUCAUUUUAACUCCGUUUUUGCCCAUUCAAAUUGCGUUAGGUUCGUAAUCACAUGCUCUACAUGUUAGAAACAUUAGUUUACUGUUUUUGAAACUUUUAAUUCUGCAGUAGCAUUUAAUUAAUUAUUUCUCUAUAGGAAAUCUUAGAAAAUUCAUAUCUUCCGCGUUUUAAUUCCGAUUUUCGUGAACUUUACGUUUAUGUGAUCGUAGCGCUGCGUAGAAUAUUUUGGUGAACCUUUAUAUUUAUUUUACCACUGUUUGGUGUAUUGUUCUAAUUAUAUCUUGUUUGCUUCGUGUAUGAUUUUCUACAUUGGAUUGCGUGUUGUUGAUUGAUGAUUGGGAUUAGACGGUGAGCCGUACGUUGGUGCUCAAGAUCAAGUAUUUGAAGACCAGCAGGCUCAGGAGAGCUUUGAUCAAGGCAAGUAUAACCUGGGAUUAUCCUUGUUACCUAUUCACUUAUAACUACACAUAUAUGUCAUAUGCAUGCUAUCACCUUGUCGACCUUAGCAAAAUCAUAGAUGAUUGUUACCUGGAUUCCUUGCUACCUACUUGAUAUGCAUUUGGAGUAGAUGUGCUAGUGCUUGAUAUAAUCCAUGAUCUUGUAAGAUGAUUAAUAGCUAUGCAAUGAACAUAAAAGAAUGACAAAUAACGACAUGAGAUCUUGUCUGUACGUGAUCACCCGGGAUAACAGUGCAACCAUGAGGGCUAUUAUGGCUCUGGCUUUAGCUCAGUAUGAAGACCUUUUCUAGCUUGUUAGCGGUUACCCGAAAGGGCGGAGGGGCUGAACCGACACGGGUAUAGUGCGAGCCCCUGUCCCUAUGUGUAUAGGCUGCGCGUCAUUGUGCCAUUCGGAAGGGGGGUAUCUAUAUCUGCUCGCAAAGGAAACCUUGCGGCCCUAACAUGUUAGACGAACUUUUGAAAGGCUUCAUAGUGAUCCCUGCCGACCUCCCUAGGAAGGGGGUUAAGAGAUUAGCUACCUCGGGCGAAAGGGUAAAUCAUGACUCAUGGGUAAAGAUGUACAAACUCUGCAGAGUGUAAAACUGGUAUACUAGCCGAGCUCACGGUCAGGAGCGGCCUUGGGGACAUCUACAUUAAGAUGAUGAACUUGUUAUGUUAUUAUGUUCAUUUGAUUAUUGUUUAUGCUAUGAGAUUAAUUAUGCUUACACUUGAUCAUGGGAUUAAUGAAUGAUUUAUGCUUCCUUGACAAUUGCUAUUUAAUUAUGAACAUGCUAUCCACUAUUAAAAGCUAAAUGCAGUUAAACCAGUGUCAGCUGUUUGAGCCUCAUGAACCCCUGGUUAUACUUGUUGAGUACGAUAUGUGCUCACUCUUGCAAUUUCCCAACACCUCAGGAUGUGAUAAUGAAGAUGACUGGAAUGAGGAUUAUCGGUAUGAGUACUAGGUUUGGAGUCAACCAGUCAACAGUGUCCCUGUGUGGAGCUCCCGUUGAGAGCGUGGUUUACUUUAUGUUAUCAUUUUUGUAUGAGACUAUGUGAUAUUUUAUAUUCCGCUAUGUAAUAAACACUGCGAUGGUACAUUUUGAGAUUUGUCUACUUAUGUGUGCGACUGUUUCUGGGGCACAUAUGAGUCUUUUAUGCAUCCUAUUUUGCUCUUAAAAUAUGGGUGUGACAAAUUGGUAUCAGAGCUUUGUUGACUGUAGGACGCAAACCUAGUUAGCAAAUGGUCGAAAACUUAGGUCCUUAUUUUACUUACUUCAUGCUUCCCACUAUGGCCUUGUUAUUCGCUAAAAGUUUUGUGCUUCUCUAUCUUGCUCUAUUGUGAAAUUAUUACAUCCAUCUGAUCUAUGUCUAAAAACUUUUUGUAGAUGCCGCCCCGCACCCGUAGUGCUGCACGCAUGGCUGCUGAGGAGUACCGUGCCAUGUUCAACCUAGGAGGACAGCAUGUGGAUGGAGUUCCUGAGCUGGAAGAUGAGGAAUCAAGGGUGGAAGCUCAGGAGGAAGUGCCUGCAGAUGAGGAGAUGCAAGAUCCACCUCCACCACAGUCUGCUAAUGCAAGGAUGGGAUGGACUACUGAGCUGUGGAUUCCAGAGGCAGAUCCCAAGGAUUUCUUCCAUGAGAACUUGGUGCUGACAUUGAAACACCAUUACCCAGAUUUGCAAGCCACACUGGAGUAUAACUGCACUGAGCACAAACACCCGCUGAGGAGAUCACUUUGGGUUGCGGAGCUGAUAGUCAAGACACUGGAUGCCAACAAGGGGAUUCGAAAGGUGGGAUCAAAACACAUCGCUCGAAUCAGCCGGGACACGAUGAAAGAGAGUAUGGCAGAUGCAGCUUACCAGGCCUUGGUCUUCUACCGUGGUAGACGCUUUGAGGAUGUUCAGUAUAAUGCCACAUACCACUAUCUUCGCUUUGUACCAGAGAAGAUGACUUGGGCCAUAGAAGUUGCAGAUGCUUCACAACCAAAGCUUCAAGCACAAGUGGAGUUGACCUAUGAGCUGACACUCAAGGUGAUAGAGUUGGAGAAUGAACUACACCGUGAGAGGAAGCUGCUGGAGAAAGAGCAAAGGGAAGCAGAUGACCUUCGAGCGGAGUUAGGCCGUCCCAAACUUCAUAAGAGGCUGCAUGUUGAACCCAUCUUGAAGGAUGCUGCACCCGAAGAGUAGAAAAGAACCCAUAUGUAAUAGUAACGUUAGUAGUUGCGAGUUAUUUCGAGUCUUUUGCUAGUGUGGUGUGAACUUGGUGUGCUUGCUGAAUUGUUAUUAUGAAUAUGUGUGAUUUGGAUUUUUGUAAUGAGUGCUGGGAAAUUGUGGGCAUGUCCACAAGUUCCCUAAUUAAGAACCUUAAGUAAGAACAUGAAUAAAUAGUAGUUUGGGGUCAUAUCCUGUUUCUGUCUUUUGCUGUUUUCUGGAGCAGUCUGCAAUGAUUCUGGAAUAAAUCAAAUUCUGUUCGUGCAAUGUUCAUCAAAUUUUUCUGGGAAUAAGUAGACUUUCAUAUCUUUCCAAUGCCACAAGAAUGAUCAUAUUAUCUAUUAUGUGCGGUGAGUUAUGACUGUUUAAAGUUGAGUUUUCUGCGCAGUCUGGAAUUCUGGAACAGUUUCGGUUGUACACAGUUUUUGAUUAAACUAACGUUGGAAUCUGGUAAUAUGAUAUAAAUGAAAGUUGUAGACAAUUUCUUUAUCUUUCCAACGGUGUACAGCAUGUGUCCUUUUGAAUUCUGGAACUCGAGAUACUACUGAUUUUCUGAUCUGCUGAUGUUGGAUGUUACCCAGAAAAUUUCAGAUUCGGUUAACUCUUGUAAUUGUCAUGUUGGGCAUUACUAAGAUGUGUUUAUAUACCUUGGAAUGCAGAUGGCAGCAAGAGGAAGAGGCAGAGGCAGAGGCCGUGGCAAUGGCAAUGACAAUGGCAAUGGUGGCAAUGCUCCAAUCACCGUGGAGGAACUCAUGCAAACCCAAAAUCAGAUGAUGCACGUUUUCAUGCAGCACCUGCAGCAACAACCUCCACCGACACCACCACCUAUUCAUGUGAGGGACAAGCGUGGAGAGUUUAUGAAGGGAAGACCUCCGGUAUUUACACACUCAGCUGAUCCCAUGGAGGCAGAUGAUUGGUUACGUGCUGUGGAGAGGCAACUGAACAUAGCACAGUGCAAUGACUUGGAGAAGGUGUUGUAUGCUUCUGGACAGCUUCAAGGUGCAGCUCAGACAUGGUGGGAGUCGUAUCAAGCUGCUCGUCCCAACACUGCUCCUCCUGUCACAUGGCUGGAAUUCUGUAGAGACUUCAGAGCUCGACAUAUAAAUGAAGGAGUGAUGGAGCUCAAACAAGAAGAAUUCAGAUCACUCAGGAUGGGCUCCAUGACUGUGGCAGAAUAUCAUGACACAUUUGAACAGUUGGCUCGCUAUGCUCCGAACGAUGUCAGGGAAGAUGCUGAUAAGCAGCGUUUAUUCAUGAAGGGCUUGUACUAUGAACUCAGGUUGCAGUUGGCAGGAAACACUUAUCCUACCUUCCAAGCUCUUGUGAACCGUGCCAUUGUGCUUGAUAAUAUGCGGAAGAGUCAGGAUAAGAAGAGAAGGAUGCUGGCACAAGGAUCUGGGAGCAACAACCGUCAGCGUUUCAGCUCUCAGCAAGGCCAUCAGCAGAGGUUCCAGGGACCAGUUAGUCAGUGGAACCGUAACCAGCAACCCCAGCGUUUCCAGAAUCAGUCACCGAGUGGGAACCAACGUCCUCCAUUCCAACAACGUAACCAUAAUCAGCAGCAGCAGGGUCAGCAGACACCUCGCUCAGGGAACUCAAAUGCCAACUCUACAAAAAGGAGUGCUUCUAACAAUCCUACCAGGUGUUUCCGUUGUGGGAAGGAAGGGCAUAUGUCCUAUGAUUGCCCAGAGAAGUUUAAUCCGCAGUACAACGAUCGUAGAUCCACUCCUAAUUCAGCAAAGGUGAACAACGUGGCAGCAGAAACUGUUCAGGAAGGACCAGAAAUCAUGAUGGGUACGUUCAGCAUCAACUCUAUCCCUGCUACAGUUUUAUUUGAUUCUGGAGCUUCACAUACUUUCAUAUCGCAAGCAUUUGUUAGAGUUCAUAGCCUUCCUCUUGUUGCAAUGAACACCCCUAUGUUAGUUAAUUCACCGGGUGGGACUAUACCAGUUUCUUUACGUUGCCCCUCAGCAAGUCUUUCUUUAAGGGGGGUAGAUUUUCCUAUCAGUCCCAUGGUUAUGAGAACUUCAGGCAUAGAUGUGAUCUUGGGUUUGGAUUGGAUGAAGCAACAUGCAACAAAUAUUAACUGCAAAGAGAGAGUAGUGGUUCUGACAACACCAAAGGGAGAAAGAAUCAGUGUUGAUGUAACAAUGCAAGCACCACUCACAGCUAAAGUGAACCAACUGACUGAUGAUGUUGAUCCUCAGAAUUUGGUAGUGGAUGAGUUUCCGGAUGUCUUUCCAGAUGAAUUGCCAGGUAUGCCACCUGACCGAGACAUUGAAUUUAUUAUUGAAUUACUACCUGGUACUGCACCCAUAGCUAAAAGACCAUAUAGGAUGGGGGUUAAGGAACUAGAAGAACUUAAGAAACAAAUUAAGGAAUUGCAAGAUAAAGGGUUCAUUCGUCCUAGCUCAUCACCAUGGGGUGCACCAGUUAUCUUUGUUGAUAAGAAGGAUGGUAGUCAGAGGAUGUGUGUUGAUUAUCGGUCACUUAAUGAGGUCACUAUCAAGAAUAAAUAUCCAUUGCCUAGGAUUGAUGACUUAUUUGAUCAGCUAAGAGGUGCUUGUGUGUUCUCUAAGAUUGAUUUGCGUUCUGGUUAUCAUCAACUGAAGAUUCGGAAUUCAGAUAUACCAAAGACAGCUUUCACAACAAGGUAUGGGUUAUAUGAGUAUACAGUUAUGUCUUUUGGUUUGACCAAUGCACCAGCUUACUUUAUGUACAUGAUGAAUAAAGUAUUCAUGGAGUAUCUUGAUAAGUUUGUGGUGGUCUUUAUUGAUGAUAUUCUGGUGUUCUCUAAAACCAAGGAAGAACAUGCUGAACAUCUGAGAUUGGUCUUACAAAAACUUAGAGAACAUAAGUUGUAUGCUAAGCGUAGUAAAUGUGAGUUUUGGUUGGAGGAAGUAUCUUUUCUUGGUCAUGUUGUCUCUAAUGGUGGUAUUGCAGUGGAUCCUAGUAAGGUGAAAGAUGUGUUGAAUUGGAAACCACCUACAGAUGUAAGUGAAAUUCGCAGUUUUCUUGGUUUAGCUGGUUACUAUCGUAGGUUCAUUGAAGGGUUCUCAAAACUUGCAAAGCCUAUGACUGCUCUAUUAGAGAAGAAUGCUAAGUUUGUGUGGUCUGAUAAGUGUCAAGCUAGUUUUGAGGAGUUCAAGAAGAGAUUGACCACUGCACCUGUGUUGGUAUUGCCGGAUCUGAGUAAGAGUUUCUCUAUCUAUUGUGAUGCUUCUCGUCUGGGUUUGGGUUGUGUUCUUAUGCAAGAAGGUAGAGUUGUUGCUUAUGCGUCUAGACAAUUGAGGAAACAUGAAUUGAAUUAUCCUACUCAUGAUUUGGAGUUAGCAGCUGUGGUUCAUGCGUUGAAGAUUUGGAGACACUAUUUGAUUGGGCAUAAGAGUGACAUAUACACUGAUCAUAAGAGUUUGAAGUAUAUCUUCACCCAGACAGAUCUGAAUUUGAGGCAACGAAGAUGGUUGGAACUGAUAAAGGAUUAUGAUUUGGAAGUACAUUAUCAUCCUGGGAAGGCGAACGUCGUAGCUGAUGCACUUAGCAGAAAGAAAUAUGCUAAUGAGCUUCAGGCGACCCCUGAAUCUGAGGAGUUGUGUGCUGAAUUUGCAUAUUUAAACUUGGGAAUGGUAGUAAAUGCUACGGAGAUUGAGAUUACUCCUACCCUAGAGGAAGAGAUAUUGAAAGGACAAUUGGAAGAUGAGAAACUAAAGGAGAUAGCACAGAAUGUGGCAUUAGGCAAAGCACCAGGAUUCAGAAUAGAUGACAAUGGUGUAUUGUGGUUUGGAAAAAGGAUAUGUGUUCCGGAAGUGAAGGCUAUUCGUGAUACGAUUCUGAGAGAGGCUCAUGAGUCAGCAUAUUCCAUUCACCCUGGGAGCACUAAGAUGUAUCUAGAUCUAAGACAGAAGUACUGGUGGUAUGGUUUAAAGAGAGAUGUAGCUGAGUAUGUUGCUGUGUGUGAUACUUGUCAGCGAGUGAAAGCUGAACAUCAGAGGCCAGCUGGACUGUUGCAACCAAUGAAGAUUCCGGAAUGGAAGUGGGAAGAAGUGGGUAUGGAUUUCAUAGUGGGUUUACCACGAACACAGAGAGGGUAUGACUCAAUAUGGGUGAUAGUAGAUCGUUUGACUAAAGUUGCUCACUUCAUACCUGUUAAAACUAAGUACACUGGAGAACGCCUAGCUGAGCUGUAUAUGGAGAGAAUUGUUUGUUUGCAUGGGGUACCUAAGAAGAUUGUGUCAGAUAGGGGUACUCAAUUCACAUCUCACUUUUGGAAAGCGGUGCAUGAUUCAUUGGGAACUAAGUUGAAUUUCAGCACAGCAUAUCAUCCACAGACAGAUGGACAGACUGAGAGGAUCAACCAGAUAUUGGAGGAUAUGUUGAGAGCUUGUGCUUUGCAGUAUGGGGCUAGUUGGGACAAGAGUUUGCCAUAUGCAGAAUUCUCCUACAACAACAGCUAUCAGCAAAGUCUUAAGAUGGCACCGUUCGAGGCCCUAUAUGGUCGGAAGUGCAGGACACCUUUGUUUUGGAAUCAGACGGGGGAGACUCAGGUGUUUGGGACAGAUGUGCUUAGACAUGCAGAACAACAAGUGCGGACUAUUCGGGAUAACUUGAGAGUUGCUCAAUCUCGUCAGAAAAGCUAUGCAGAUACGCGUAGGAGAGAGCUGGCUUUUGAAGUGGGUGAUUAUGUCUAUUUGAAAGUGUCACCUAUGCGGAGUGUGAAGAGGUUUAAUAUGAAGGGAAAGCUGGCUCCAAGGUAUGUUGGUCCGUUUAAAGUUUUAGAAAGGCGUGGAGAAGUAGCCUAUCGGUUAGAAUUGCCGGAAAGUUUAUCUGGUGUGCACGAUGUGUUCCAUGUGUCACAACUCAAGAAGUGUUUGCGUGUACCUGAGGAGCAAUUACCAUUGGAAGAACUUUCUGUUAAAGGUGAUCUCACUUAUGAGGAGCAUCCGGUCAAAAUAUUGGAGACAGCUGAGAGAGUCACCAGAAGUCGGGUCAUCAGAAUGUGCAAAGUACAGUGGAAUCGGCAUUCGGAAGCAGAGGCAACUUGGGAAAGGGAGGAUGACCUGAGGAAAUCAUACUCAUACUUGUUUGAGUAAGCACCUGUUUCAUCUCGAGGACGAGAUUCUUUUAAGGGGGGUAGAGUUUGUAACACCCAAAAUUAGCUUUCCAAUUAAUAGGGUUUAAUUUGAGUUAUUUAAGUAUUUUGGGAGCAUUUAAUUUAGUAAAUGGAUAAUUUUGUUGAAACUAAAAUUUAUUAUAAGGAUAGAAACUUGUAUAUGCAUUCAUGCUGGGGCACAUUUUGUUUUGUGUUGACUCCUUUUGGUUUGAUUUUAGUUGUACUCGAAUUUCUAUUUGGAAAUGACUUUAAAAAAAAAAAAAAAAAAAGAAAAAGAAAACAAUGCUUCACCCUCUCUCGGUUUCGGCCUGGCGACCCUCAGCCUGGCGCGGCCCAUCUCCCACUCCCUCCCGCACUCGGCCCACUCUCUCCCCCCGGCCCAACGCGCGCGCCUCCUUCUCCCCUUCGGCUGACGACCGGGCCCCGCCCCGCUUCUCUCACUGGCAGCGCGGGCCCGCAUGGCAGCGGGCGCCUUCUCCUCCUUCCUUCUUCACGAGACGGAGCCGAACCAGACUCGACCGGCGCCAACCAAAAUCCCGAUUCUCCCGGGAUUUGGCAUGUUGAGAUCAAACCGAGCCCUAUAAAGCUCCUAGUGAUGCCCCGCGUCUCGGUUUUCCAUCUACGCCGCAAGAACUCUGACCUAGGACCCGCUGUCGCGCUAAAACGAAUCUCACCGAGUUUGGGAGCACCCCCUGUCGCCGCGAGCCUUCCCUGUUCUCCCCUGGUGCGAGCAAGGCGUCUAGGUGAGUUCCUGGUGAGUUUCUCCACCGCCUGGUGGUUUCGUUUUCUUUUUCGUGCUCUGAAUCGAAGAAACGGCGAGCUCCAGGGACCAUGCCCAUGGCGCCGCCGUGUCGGGUGCCCAUCCGGCCGGCCGGCCGCCGCUGGCCCCCUGGUGGGAUUUCCACCGUUGGAUCCAAGAUCCACGGCCACAAACAGAAGAUACCCCUUCGGGGUGAAAUUUGUUAAAGAGCCCCUGGAAAAGUUGAGAUUAAACCCGCAGUCCAAAGCGCCUCCUCAGUUUUACGCCUUUCGUUUUCAAAAACGUAUUCUCUGCGGGCUGAGUAAAUUACGCUUUCCAGAAAUUACAGAAAUGCCACUGAUUUUAUAAUGCUCAUAAAAUAUUCAUUUUAACUCCGUUUUUGCCCAUUCAAAUUGCGUUAGGUUCGUAAUCACAUGCUCUACAUGUUAGAAACAUUAGUUUACUGUUUUUGAAACUUUUAAUUCUGCAGUAGCAUUUAAUUAAUUAUUUCUCUAUAGGAAAUCUUAGAAAAUUCAUAUCUUCCGCGUUUUAAUUCCGAUUUUCGUGAACUUUACGUUUAUGUGAUCGUAGCGCUGCGUAGAAUAUUUUGGUGAACCUUUAUAUUUAUUUUACCACUGUUUGGUGUAUUGUUCUAAUUAUAUCUUGUUUGCUUCGUGUAUGAUUUUCUACAUUGGAUUGCGUGUUGUUGAUUGAUGAUUGGGAUUAGACGGUGAGCCGUACGUUGGUGCUCAAGAUCAAGUAUUUGAAGACCAGCAGGCUCAGGAGAGCUUUGAUCAAGGCAAGUAUAACCUGGGAUUAUCCUUGUUACCUAUUCACUUAUAACUACACAUAUAUGUCAUAUGCAUGCUAUCACCUUGUCGACCUUAGCAAAAUCAUAGAUGAUUGUUACCUGGAUUCCUUGCUACCUACUUGAUAUGCAUUUGGAGUAGAUGUGCUAGUGCUUGAUAUAAUCCAUGAUCUUGUAAGAUGAUUAAUAGCUAUGCAAUGAACAUAAAAGAAUGACAAAUAACGACAUGAGAUCUUGUCUGUACGUGAUCACCCGGGAUAACAGUGCAACCAUGAGGGCUAUUAUGGCUCUGGCUUUAGCUCAGUAUGAAGACCUUUUCUAGCUUGUUAGCGGUUACCCGAAAGGGCGGAGGGGCUGAACCGACACGGGUAUAGUGCGAGCCCCUGUCCCUAUGUGUAUAGGCUGCGCGUCAUUGUGCCAUUCGGAAGGGGGGUAUCUAUAUCUGCUCGCAAAGGAAACCUUGCGGCCCUAACAUGUUAGACGAACUUUUGAAAGGCUUCAUAGUGAUCCCUGCCGACCUCCCUAGGAAGGGGGUUAAGAGAUUAGCUACCUCGGGCGAAAGGGUAAAUCAUGACUCAUGGGUAAAGAUGUACAAACUCUGCAGAGUGUAAAACUGGUAUACUAGCCGAGCUCACGGUCAGGAGCGGCCUUGGGGACAUCUACAUUAAGAUGAUGAACUUGUUAUGUUAUUAUGUUCAUUUGAUUAUUGUUUAUGCUAUGAGAUUAAUUAUGCUUACACUUGAUCAUGGGAUUAAUGAAUGAUUUAUGCUUCCUUGACAAUUGCUAUUUAAUUAUGAACAUGCUAUCCACUAUUAAAAGCUAAAUGCAGUUAAACCAGUGUCAGCUGUUUGAGCCUCAUGAACCCCUGGUUAUACUUGUUGAGUACGAUAUGUGCUCACUCUUGCAAUUUCCCAACACCUCAGGAUGUGAUAAUGAAGAUGACUGGAAUGAGGAUUAUCGGUAUGAGUACUAGGUUUGGAGUCAACCAGUCAACAGUGUCCCUGUGUGGAGCUCCCGUUGAGAGCGUGGUUUACUUUAUGUUAUCAUUUUUGUAUGAGACUAUGUGAUAUUUUAUAUUCCGCUAUGUAAUAAACACUGCGAUGGUACAUUUUGAGAUUUGUCUACUUAUGUGUGCGACUGUUUCUGGGGCACAUAUGAGUCUUUUAUGCAUCCUAUUUUGCUCUUAAAAUAUGGGUGUGACAGAGGUUCCGGGCACUUGCCCCUUUUUAUUUCCUUGUUUCUCUCUUUUUUUUAGGGCACUCAUCUCUUGAGAUAAUAUAGCAAGUGGUAGUAACAAGAUAACUUGAGCAUUUAUUUCACAAAGGAAAAACAAAAAUGUUUUUGGCCAUUCUCUCCCGGAUUAGGAGUAGAAUGUUUUUGGGUGGUUCUGGAGGUGGAAAUGAGUGGAUAUAUGUGGAUGGUACUUCCGGAGUAGAAGCAGCAUGUGUGACUGAACGUGCAAGUGAAUCUUGAUUUUAACCACAUGACAAGCUCCUAAGGGUCUACACAGCUUGACCACACUCAAUGCUCAUAAGCAGUAAAAAGUAAAUGUGUGGCUCAAAGUUUAGCAAGCAUGUAUAUAUGGCUGUGGUAGGAAUUUAAACUCUCAUCAUACAGGAACUCAUCAUGCAAUAUUUUAAAGAUUUUCAAAGAUAAAAUUCUCCAGAAUUCUAGCAUCUCUAGGAACAGAUGAACAACAGCUCAAUCUUCUCAUAUCAUAUCCGUUAACAACUUAGACUUUAGAUCAAGUUUUCUUCCCACAAGUUUAGGUUUAGAGCAAGCUUUAAAUUAUAACAAUUAUGCCUAAACUUGAGAGAACUUCAAAUUUGAAAAAUUAAGCAGAGCAACUAUUCAUCAUAUCCAUGCUAGAGUUUUAUUAUUAAGAUUCAGAUUAGCAUAGCCACUUUUUUAUUUAUUAAACGUACUAAGCAAAAGACAUAUAUAUAUAUAUAAGCACAAAAUCUUUAUUUGGUUUUCCAUAAUUAUGUAUAUUUAUAUUUUUAAUAUAAUAUAAGUAUAAAGAUAGAUAGAUAGAAAUACUUAUCGGGAUAAAUAGGGGUGCUUUCCCCCAAGCUGAAUUUUGACGUAAUUUCCCUUGAUGUAGCUAGCAGAUGGCAGAGGUGUAUUUGAAAGUCGGCAGCAUUCUGACAGCGAUUAGAAUGUCCUCCGUCUGCUAGUCUUCUUGAUUCUUAAAUUCUCUGGAGCUCAAAUAAACAACAAAGCUUUGUGGAACUAAUUAAGUGUUAGCAUAAACAUCUAGCCUUUAUCAUGUUGAAACUUCUUAAUAAAUAUUACUCCCUAUUUUUUAUAUUUUUCAUUUUAUAGAGUAGAAAAGAAAUAUUUAUUUUAUUUUUAUGCCACCACAGUGAAUGUACUUAUGGGUUUUAUGCCACUCGUAUACUCACAUGGGGCUUACUGUUUUUUAACAUUUUUUUAUUUUCUUUUUAGGAUAGUAUGAACAUGAUUAACUAAGUAAACUGUUUAAAUAAUUGAAAGGGAAAAGAUAACUACCAAGUUUACCUCUUGGCAAGGCGUUCGGUGUUUUUAAGUCCUCCGAACGGGACUCUCCAUUUUCUCAAUUGUUCUGGGAUUCGUUAGGUGGCGUAGUCGGUACUUCCGGCGGCGCCACCUCUUCAUGUAUAGUUAUCUUCUCUCUCCACACCUGACUUGGUGCUACGGUCUCCUUUGGAUAAUUCUGUUUAAACUGUAUGUCUUCUGACCUUGUCACUUCGCCUUCAUAGUCUGCCCAUCCAUCCUUGAUGAUCUGCCUCCUCUGGUUGCGGUUGCGUCGUUUUCUGACCUGCUUAGAUUCUUCAAUGAUAUAGUUAGGGUCAGUAAAAUAGCGGCAUACCUUCUCUGAGGGGAAGUGCAUAUGGACUUCUCCAGUACCAAUGUAGAUGAUUGCUUUAACGGUGCUAAGGAACGGUCUUCCAAGGAUGAUGGGUGGAUCGUAUUCGUCUUCUCCCAUGUCAAUAACCUAAAAGUCUAUGUAGACAAAAUGAUCGUCUAUUUUGACAGGGACAUCAGUUACUGUUCGUUUAACCUCUCGAAAUGUCUGAUCUGCCAUCUGGAGCUGAAUGUAUGUUGGUUUGAAGGGCAUGGUUACGAACAAGAGCCGAUAGGUGACUGCAGCCAUUAUGUUGACGCCCGAUCCAGUGUCGCAAGUCGUCUUGUAGAAGUUAUAUCCAUUUAUGGAGCAAUAGAUGCUUGGCAUUCCAGGGUCAUCCUUCUUAGUCAAAAAUGGUGACUUAAGUUGAUGCUCUUGGCCUCCAUGAACUGCAGUGACCAUCUUAGCUGACUCGGUCCACACUUGCUUGUUCCUCCUCCUGUUGGUCCUCUUCCUUGGUUCACGUCUGGAUUGAUCUGGGAUUUGUAUAGUCUUGUUCUUGAAGGAAAAUGCCUCCUUCUUCCCUUUGAUGUAGAAACUGAUCUUGGCAGCACUAGCGUAGAUGACAGCACCCGAGGUGUUCAAGAAUGGCCUCCCUAAGAUGAUGGGUGCCCUCUCAUCAUUACCGGUCUCUAUCACCACGAAGUCUGCUGGGGCAUAUAAGGUACCAACUCGGACACAAAGGUUCUUCAAUAUUCCUUUUGGAAAACUUAAUGCCUGAUCUGCAAACUGCAAACACAUGGUUGUUUCUAAUAAAGGAUAUGUACAGAAUUUUUCAUAGAGUACCCUAGGUAUAAUGUUGACGCUAGAGCCAAAGUCACAUAGUGCUUCUGGGACGUCCACCGUACCGAUGGAGAUCGGGAUGACGGGGCGUCCAGGAUCGCCUCUCUUGACCGGCAGAAGGUUAGUAGUAACUUCAAUGAUGGGGUUACUCCAAUUACCUGCAUCAAACAUGUCUACAAGAUUUGCAGAUUCUAAUCCUUCCGGUUGUGAUAGUAUACCGGGGUUAGUAGUAGGAACAACAGCACCUAUUUGAUUUAAUUCAGAUUCUAUCAUUUAAUUAAAGCUAAUUUGAUUCUUGAUGGCAGUAGAGAAAUUAUCCAUUCUAUUAUUUAUAUUUUCUAGCAUUUUAUCAUUUGAUGCCAAUUUCUUUGAUAGGUUAUCCAUUAGCUUUCCUUGAUUAGACACUAACUCUCUCAGAGGUGGAAAAUUAUUAUUAUUAUGAUUAUUGUAAGAAUUGUUACCUUGAUAAUUACUUGAGUAGUUAGGCCUCUGUUGAUUCCAACCUUGAUUUUGUUGAGGACGGUUGUAGUAGUAGUUGUUGUUAUUGUUGAUAUAGUUCACAUCCUCAAGCAUCUCAGGAUAGUGAUUGCCUGAGUGUCCAGUGUCUCCACACUCCUCGCAAGUCAUGUGAGAGUCGUAGAUGUGCACAACUUCUUUCUUAUCUCCAGCUCUAUCAUCGAGCUUUUUCUUGAGCAGGUCUAGCUUUGCAGACAGCAUGUCUACCUCCUUGAGCUGAUACAUACCUCUACCUCUCUUGCGUGUCUGGGUCCUCUCUUCAUUUCAGCCUUGGUUGGACGCCAUCUUCUCCACAAGAGCUGUGGCUUCUGAUAUGGUAAGUGAUAGGAAUGCUCCUCCAGCUGCAUCAUCCAUGGUUUCUCGAGCACUGUUGCCGAGCCCAUGAUAAAAUGUCUGCAUUAGUAGCCAACUCUCCAUUCCAUAAUGGGGACAUUCUAGGAUGUAGUCUUGGAAGCGCUCCCAUGCUUCUGGAACGGAUUCUUCAUGUUGUUGUUAAAAACUUGUAAUCUUCCCACGGAGAGCAUUGGUCUUGCCCAUGGGAAAGAACUUAGCCAGAAAGUUCGUUGAGCAGAGUGCCCACGUAGUAUUCUUCUCCUUUGUAGCGUAGAACCACUGCUUCGCUCUUCCUAACAGUGAGAAUGGGAAGAGGCGAAGUAGUAUAGCAUCUCUGGAAACGCCUGAUAUGGUAAAUGUGUUGCAAAUGUUGGAGAUGAGCACUAGCAUCUUCGUGUGCCUUCCCACAGAACUGGUUGGAUUGCACCAUGUUGAUAAGUCCAGGCUUGAGCUCAAAGUUGCCGUCGAUCUCUGCAGCAGGUCCAGUGCGGAUGUUGUCCGUAGUGGGAGCUGAGAACUCGCGGAUCGAUUUGUUCACCAUGGCUUCGAACUCUGAAGACAAGUUCCGGUGAUCUUCUUGAUUGGAUGAAGCUUCUUGCUGAAGUGUUGAUGAUCUCUUCUUGAGCUUGGCUCUUGUUUUUCUGAAUAAUGCUUCGGGAUUGUCAACAAAAUUUCCUAGAAGAUGUCUUCUAUUCAUACAUUAUCCUGCAUAAGAUAAAACAGAAAAAUACUGGGGUAAAACUGUAUGAGAGAAUUGAUAAGCUCAAUCAUAUUAGUGAUGCGAAUGAUAACUCCAAAUCCUAUAUUUAUUCCUGAUUAGUAAUCAACCUUCUCCGGCAAUGGCGCCAAAAAUGCUUGUUGGGUAUUCCUAACAUCAUUACCAAAAGUAGACUUAGUUUUCUAAUUCUGAUAACGGUGCCAAAAAUGCCAAAACUAUCUCUCAUACCACUUAAGCCAAGUUGUCAUCCCCAGCAUGACAUGAGAGACGCGGUAUUGAAAUAUGCAAUUGCUCAUCUAAAUAAAUAAUGAAUGGGAUCUGCAAGCGCACAGAUUAAUACCGAUGUAGCAUUUUAACCGGGAAGUAUUCCAGGUAUCGUUAUUUAUAUUUUUACCAUAGGGAAGGGAUUAGUAACCAUCAAUGUUGAUUAUAGAAUGGAAUAUGAGAUUGAGUAUCUAUCAUUGCAUGUAUAAUUGAGAACAUUUAUCUAACUCUUUCAUACAGGGAUAAGUACCACAUAAAAGAUAUAUGAAAUAAUGAAUAGUGACAAAGAUAAUUAAUCUGAUCAGCAUAACUUAGCCACAUAAUAAAUAUGAUAAGCACCUCAAUUAGAUACUCUAGAAAGUCAUUAGCAUGGAAUUAGAACGAACUACAAGAAUAUUUCCUAAGUUAUUCUCAACUAUAUAGUCUAGCAUUAUCAUAGUUAGUGCAAGCAUACUUAGCAAUCAUUGCAAGACAAGACUGCGCCCAUGCAUAGUGAUAUUAGCAAGGUAAAUGAGAAUCAUAGCAAUCACUCCCCUGUAAUAAUGUUGCUCUGCCAGCCCAAUACACGAGAGGGGGACUAUAUAGGAAUCAAUGAAGCUGUCGCUAUCACGAACUACCCCACGAUCUAGCAUAUUGGGUACAAUCGUAGAUAUAUACGGUAUAAGCACCACGCCUACACAAUAUCUAUCAUUUACCCAUGGAUCCGAUGGAUAAACGCUAUACGAUCCUAAGCAUGUAUAUAGAUCCAAUCUAACUAAGCCAAGUAUAUAACUAUGAUAAACUAAGAACAAUAUAAUCUUGAAUAUAAACAAGAAGAGCAAAGUCAUAAGCAAUAUAUGGAAGUAGAACAAAGUCAUAUCCAUAAUAUUGAAGAACAAAGAUAAUUAGAAAAACAAUUAGAAGCACAAUUAGAGAAUUACUAAGAAUCCUCUUGAUAGAUCCGGAAACCAAUCGAAGAUUGACUCCUAGUUCUAAUCCUAUGUAGCUAUGCUAAUCUAGAUAUCUAAUUGAUGUGGUGGCUCUAAUCUUGAUCAGAGGCUUCUUCUCCCUUGAGGAACAAUUAAUUAGGGUUGAGAGGCGCUCUCCUCCAGGGGCCAGGGGGUCUGGUUUUAUAGUCCCUUCAAGUGAAUAUGGGCCGUUGGAUCAAACCGACAUAGAUUGAACGGUUAUCCUUGAUCCUUUAGGUCGGUGGAGAUCUUUCCUGAAAGAGUGUCCUGAUUGGAGUCCAACAGGGGGCGGGCGCCCAUGUCAACUGGGCGGGCGCCCAGUGCCUGGCCCCGUUCGGCCUCCGCUUCCUUCCCGUGGCUUCUGGAGUCUUCUAGAUGUAAGAUAAUUGUGCGGCACGUUGAUAUCUCUAUGUAAUCCCGACGUGUGGGCCUUUCUUCCGUAUUUCCUGAUAACCCCCUGCAGAAAUAGACAAACACCAAAACUCGUGGAAUUCUGUUAGAUAAAACCCUAAGUCUAGAUAUUGAUUUCAUUUGGAUCCUUUUCUUUGUUUAUUUGAUAAUUAAAUUUGAUACUUAAGGACCGUCAACAUCAACAUCCAGCUUAGGGGAGGCACCCCCACGUGUAUCUAGAUAAGUAUUACUUUCCUUUCUUGGUUUUAUUUACUAGUAUUUGGAAAUAAAUAGAAAAAUGCAUAACCAUGAAACCAAACAAAGUUUUUCUUUUGAGUAAUAUACAAUAGUUUUGUGUAAUCCUAAGUUUUAAAUAAAAUAAAAAGAAAGUUUGAACCAAUUCUAGGUAAUUGACAAACAUGAUAUGAGAAGGUCUGAGCUACUAUUUAACUUGUUCCAAGUUUCGCUAGAGUUCUGGAGAUUUUAUCUUUUGAAAAUCUAAAAAUUCAAAAAAAAUGAUGACAUCCGGUUUCACAUAAUACCUAGAGUCUUAUAAGAUAUAAAUAUUAAAACUAUGGGCACUUGCUUUGUUCAAGCCAUUGUUAAUUCUUGUAGUUUUGGUUGAGAGAAUUAUCAUGCUCCAAAGAUCAAGAUCUUUUUGUUUUAAAAAUAUAAAAGAUUCACUCUUCCGAAGUAUUAUUGCGCUAGAGGCAUGGGACUAUGCAAAAAUUUGAUUCGAAAAAAGAGUGAGACGAGAGGUAAAAAUGGACAAGUGUCCAAAGUAGAAUUAGGGGUACAAAGAUACCCACCUGAGUGGAAAAAAUGGACACGUGUCCGACAGUAGAAUUAGGGGUACUUGGUGCCCACUUGAAAAAAGGGGAAAAAAGAGAGAGACUGAAAACAGAAAGAGAUGACAAACUUUUCAAAAAGGUCAAAGGUCUUGAUCUAGGAGUAUGACAUUCCUCUCCCUUGCUUCGAGCAUUGACAUAGCAAAAUGCAAAGUAAGUAUGCUAAAACUUUUAAAGGUCUACUCAUAUAUCUUUUGAGAAGAAGGCAAAUGCCUCAGUUUUAUUUUGGAAACUUACAAAAGGACUCCAGAACAAAGGUAAGACAGAAGAACUUGAGACAUAGUGCUUGACUUGAUCGUUUUGUUUUUCAAUCACUUAAGACCUUAGUGAUAACUUAAAAACCCUAUAGUAAGAGGCAUAAAACUAACCCCUUUUUUCUUACUGAUUUUAGCUUUGCUCAGGGACGAGCAAAGGUUAAGCUUGGGGGAGCUUGUUGACGGUCCUUAAUGCUCACAUUUAACCGUCAACUAAUCAUAAAAAAUGACCUAUAUGCAAUCAACAUCAAAGUUUAGGGUUUCAUCUCACAGAAUUCCAUGAGUUUUGGUGUUUGUCUAUUUCUGCAGGGGGUUAUCAGGAAAUAUGGAGGAAAGGUCCACACGUCGGGCUUACAUAGAGAUAUUCACGUGCACCGCAAUUAUCCGACAUCUACAAGAGUCUAUAAGCCACGGGAACGAGUGGGAGGCUGAGGGGGCCCUAGGGCUGGGCGCCCACCCUCCCCCCUUGGGCGCCCGCCCAAGGCUCUCAGCCAAUCAGGGUCCAUCUCGCGGAUAAUGCUCCACCGACCUAAAGGAUUAUGGAAAACCGUGGGAUUAAGGUCGGUUUGAUCCGACGGCUCAUAUUCAUUUGGAGGGCUAUAUAAGCAGACCCCCACCAGCCUCUGGAGGCAUAUCUCUUCUACGGAAUCAAAGCUAGGGUUUCAAUUAUUCAUCCAAGUAGAGAGGAUCCAUCUAGUUCAUAUAGUUCUAGUUCUAGUUCAUCUAGUUCUAGUUCUAGUUGUAAUCUAGAAAAUAGGGAGAGAGAAGACGAGAGCGGAGGAGGAGCCGGAUCUGUCGGAUCUUCCUCAACAUUGUACUUUUGCAGCAAAUGGUUCGUUCUUCAUCGUUCUCCAAGUUCUUCAAUUCAUAAUUUCUGAGUUCUUUAAUUACUUUUAUUUACAUUCAAGUUAUUUAUUGGAUUCCCGCUUGCAUCAAGUGCUCUAGUCUUUGCAACGCUAGAGUAGUAAUUAAUAGAUUAGACGUGGUGCUUAGUCUUGCAAUUACCUAGAAUUACACCCAAUCCUACGGAUUGUUGUGGUAGCCCUAGGGUAGUGACAGCCCUAACGGUCGACGUAGUUCACCUCGUUUGGAUCGGUGUUUGUAGGACCAUAGUCAGAGCUUCCUAGCCCCAUUCUCAUCUCUUUCAACGGUUAGUGUUCUGAUGUCCCGAAAUAAAUAAUCUGUGAAGUAAUUCUUGAUUCUUAGAUCAACUAGAGAACUCUCAGCAAACUUCCUCUCUUCCCACCAAAAAUAAUUAUAUAGUUAUCCUUGGGCGAUCUUGAAUCUUAAUUAGUACACUCACGUUCUCUGUGGAAAAUUGAUACUCUGGAAUACUCCCGGGUGAAAUCUACAACGGUAUCCGUGCACUUGCGGAUUUUUCUGUUUGCGUUUAAAACACCCAACAAUCCACUUCUAUGCCUUUUCCUGAAACAACAAAGCUAAGAAAUACAACAUGGUCUGUGCAAAAACUGCACUUCUCAAGAUUAGCAAAUAAUUUCUCCUUUCUAAGCUCUUCCAAGACAUACCGAAUAUGAUUCACAUGUUCCUCAAAAGACUUGCUGUAAAUUAGGAUAUAAUUGAAGUAGACAACAACAAAUUUUCCAAUGAAAUCUCUCAAGACAUGGUUCAUUAAUCUCAUGAAAGUACUAGGAGCAUUAGUCAAACCAAAAGACAUAACUAACCAUUCAUACAGCCCAAAUUUUGUUUUAAAUGCAGUUUUCCAUUCAUCCCCUAUUUUCAUUCUUAUCUGAUGGUAUCUACUUCUCAAAUCAAUUUUAGUGAGUAUGGUGGAACUACUUAAUUCAUCAAGCAUGUCAUCUAAACGUGGAAUAGGAUGGCGAUAGCGAACAGUAAUGUUAUUUAUAGCUCUACAAUCAACACACAUCCUCCAAGAACCAUCUUUCUUAGGCACUAAAAUUAUAGGUACAACACAAGGACUUAAACUUUCACGAACAAAACCUUUAUCAAGAAGUUCUUGCACUUGCCUUUGUAUCUCCUUUGUUUCUUCUGGAUUGGUUCGGUGUGGUGGUCGAUUAGGUAAUGCAGCUCCUGGAAUGAGAUCAAUUUGAUGUUCAAUCCCACGAAUUGGAGGUAGUCCCGCCGGUGUUUCUUCUGAAAGACAUCUCCAUAGUCCUGCAAAAGAUGAGACACAACACUAGGAAGAGAGGUCAUGUCGUUAGCUGAAAUUAAAAUGUCUUUGUACACAAGUACAAAGAGCACUUGUUCAGGGUUGUUCCUCACUUCUUGUUGGCAUUUCUUAACGUCAUCACUUAGAACAGGGUUUAAUCCGUCCUCAGCAACGAUGUCAGAAAUGUCGUGAUAACACUUACUAAUGCAAUAACCAAGAUUAGAGUAUAAAUCUAUCUUAAGCAACGGUGCCAGAAAUGCUUGUUAGCAUUUCUUAGUGUCGCUACCUAGAAUUGGGUUCUGCUCUACUCAUGAUAAUGACAUUGGCAGUGUUAUAUUGGCAGAUCCGUAGCAUCACCACCUUGAAUAGGAAGCUAGAUCUACCUUCCCGAUAAUGGCGCCUUAUUACCGUUAGGGUAGGGUUCCAGUUCUUAAUCAUGGUAGUGGCACUAGGAUUGCCAUGUUGGUAUUCCUUAACAAGUCACUAGCUCGGCGCAUGUCUAGCAAUAGUGUUAAGUAUAUACCGGGGUGAUAGUUCCUUAGGUUUGGAGUUUAAGUACCGCAAGCGGACGGGAAUUAUCGUGUAGCAUUUCAACCCUGGGAUUUACCGAGUGUCGUAUUUAUAAGUUCGCUCUAAGGAAGGCUUAAUAUGUUAAGGAUUCUAAGAUAAGCAUAGAUCAAAGUAAUUAUGAUAGAAAAAAUGGAAUCAAAGGUCAUAGCAGGUGAUAAACAUUUAUAUGUAGAAUAGUGAUCCAUCACAAUCUAGGCAUGGCAUAUGGGCUAAGGAAUAAAAAGAGACUAAAAGAAUGAAUUGAAUCAAAGAAUAAACAAACAACCUAUUGGAGCAGGUGUGGUCCUAGAUACAUAUCAUGUCAUAGAACAAGUUAAUCAUGUAAUUAUACUACUUAGAUCUAGUCCUGUGUUUAGAUGGUUUGCAAGGUUACGCGAGUACUGUUCUGCCAGCAACCUCCGCAACUAUUUAGACUCCUACACCCUAGCCGAACGUGGGGGAAUGCCAAGGACGGACAGGGCUGUGACCACCUGCCGCCAUCCCCUCAACCGUGGACUAGGACAAUGCAUUUACCCGGCCUUUACACCCAAGCACCAUGCUUACAUGCAAAGAACCUACUCGGACUCCCCCGGGUCCCCGAACCUACGGAUCAACAGGUAAGAAGCCCGAGCCUACUCAAAAGAGCAUGAUAAACCCCCAUCUUCACACAAAGCUAUUUCUAGGCAAUUAAUUAACAUGUGUUGACGGUCCUUAAUGCUCACAUUUAACCGUCAACUAAUCAUAGAAAAGGAUCCAAAUGCAACCAACACCUAGACUUAGGGUUUUAUCUGACAGAAUUCCACGAGUUUUGGUGUUUGUCUAUUUCUGCAGGUGGUUAUCAGGAAAUAAGGAAGAAAGGCCCACACGUCGGGUUUACAUAGAGAUAUUAACGUGUCGCGCAAUUUUCUAUCAUCUAGAAGACUCCAGAAGCCACGAGAACAAAGCGAAAGCUGAGAGGCCUUAGGGAUAGGGCGCCCGCCCUAGUCCUGAGGGCGCCCGCCCACCUUUUUCCACCAAACAGAGUCCAAUUUGGGGACAACACUCCACCGACCUAAAGGAUCAAGGAAAACCGUGCGAUUAAUGUCGGUUUGAUCCAAUGGCCCAUAUUCACUUGAAGGGACUUUAAAACCAGACCCCCUGGCCCCUGGAGAUUGUUGGGUAUUCUUAACAUCAUUACCAAAAGUAGACUAAGUUCUCUAAAUCUAGUAACGGUGCCAAAAAUGCUAAACCUAUCCCUCACACCACUUAAGCCAAGUUGUCAUCCCCAGCAUGAUAUAAGAGACGCGGUAUUGAAAUAUGCAAUUGCUCUUCUAAAUAAAUAAUGAAUUGGAUCUGCAAGCGCACAGAUUAAUACCGAUGUAGCAUUUUAACCGGGAAGUAUUCCAGGUAUCGUUAUUUAUAUUUUUACCACUGGGAAGGGAUUAGCAAUCAUCACUAAUGAUUACAGAAUAGAAUAUGAGAUUGAGCAUCUGUUGGGUAUUCUUAACAUCAUUACCAAAAGUAGACUAAGUUCUCUAAAUCUAGUAACGGUGCCAAAAAUGCCAAACCUAUCCCUCACACCACUUAAGCCAAGUUGUCAUCCCCAGCAUGAUAUAAGAGACGCGGUAUUGAAAUAUGCAAUUGCUCUUCUAAAUAAAUAAUGAAUUGGAUCUGCAAGCGCACAGAUUAAUACCGAUGUAGCAUUUUAACCGGGAAGUAUUCCAUGUAUCGUUAUUUAUAUUUUUACCACUGGGAAGGGAUUAGCAAUCAUCACUAAUGAUUACAGAAUAGAAUAUGAGAUUGAGCAUCUAUCAUUGCAUGUAUAAUUGAGAACAUUAUAUCUAACUCUUCAUACAGGGAUAAGUGUCACAUAAAAGAUAUAUGAAAUAAUAAUAGUGACAAGGAUAACUAAUCUGAUCUAGCCACAUAAUAAAUAUGAUAAGCACCUCAAUUAGAUACUCUAGAAAGUCAUUACAUUGGUAUUAGAACGAACUACAAGAAUAUUCCCUAAGUUAUUCUCAACUAUAUAGUCUAGCAUAUCAUAGUUAGUGCAAGCAUACUUAGCAAUCAUUGCGAGACAAGACUACGCCCAUGCAUAGUGAUAUUAGCAAGGAAUAUGAGAAACAUAGCAAUCACUCCCCUGUAAUAAUGUUGCUCUGCCAGCCCAAUACACGAGAGGGGAACUAUAUAAGAAUCAAUGAAGCUGUCACUAUCACGAACCACCCCACGAUCUGGCAUAUUGGGUACAAUCACAGAUAAAUACGGUAUAAGCACCACGCCUACACAAUAUCUAUCAUUUACCCAUGGAUCCGAUGGAUAAACGCUAUACGAUCCUAAGCAUGUAUAUAGAUCCAAUCUAACUAAGCCAAGUACAUAACUAUGAUAAACUAAGAACAAUAUAAUCUUGAAUAUAAGCAAGCAGAGCAAAGUCAUAAGCAAUAUAUUGAAGUAGAACAAAGUCAUAUUCAUAAUAUUGAAGAACAAAGAUAAUUAGAAAGCAAUUAGAAGCACAAUUAGAGAAUUACCAAGAAUCCUCUUGACAGAUCCGGAAACCAAUCGAAGAUUGACUCCUUCUAGUUCUAAUCCUAUGUAGCUAUGCUAAUCUAGAUAUCUAAUUGAUGUGGUGGCUCUAAUCUUGAUCAGAGGCUUCUUCUCCCUUGAUGGAACAAUGAAUUAGGGUUGAGAGGCUCCCUCCUCCAGGGGCCAGGGGGUCUGGUUUUAUAGUCCCUUCAAGUGAAUAUGGGCCCUUGGAUCAAACCGACAUUGAUUGUAUGGUUUAGAUUCAUCCUUUAGGUCGGUGGAGAUCUCCCGCAAAGCAGAGUCCUGAUUGGACUCAGGAGGUGGGCGGGCGCCCUGACCAACUGGGCGGCCGCCCAGGGUCUGGCCCCGUUUCGCCUCCGCUUCGGUCUCGUGGCUUCUGGAGUCUUCUAGAUGUAAGAUAAUUGCGCAGCACGUUAAUACCUUUACGUAAUCCUGACAUGUGGGCCUUUCUUCCAUAUUUCCUGAUAACCCCCUGCAGAAAUAGACAAACACCAAAACUCGUGGAAUUCUGUCAGAUAAAACCCUAAGUCUGGAUCUUGAUUUCAUUUGGAUCCUUUUCUUUAUUUAUUUGAUAAUUAAAUUUGAUACUUAAGGACCGUCAACAAACUCCCCCAAGCUUACCUCUUGCUCGUCCCUGAGCAAGGAUAGACUCAGCAAUGGAUCAUAAGUAGUUGCAAUAUCUUUAAAAAUUGACGGUACACAUGCUUUUUAAAUAAGAUCUCAUCUCUGAGUUAGAGUAAACUGUCAAGACUUAAAACUUACUUACUUUACCUUCACCAUGGGACUUGUAACUGUCACUUCCGUCUUGAGUGGUUAAAAGAUAGAACAGUCUAGCCAAGUGCCAUGUCUCUUAUUCUUGAUCAUCUAUAGCUCUGGGGUUUUUGCAGAUUUUCAAAUAAAACUCAGAGAUUCCUUGUAUGAUUCUCUCAGAUCUCUCUUUUGUGGUAUUUUUGGAUCCUUACCAAGGCAUUGAUGGUAUAUGCCUUCUCUCAAGAUAUGUAGUAUUUGUGGUAUAAGGCAUAGUGACAUUGCCUUCUCUCUCACCCUACUCUAAUAAGGCUUUAAUAUCUGGAGCUCAUAGGUGGGAGAUAAAGUAUACAUACUCACAGGACAUUUAUUGCAUAGUCAAACCAUGGAUCCAAAGAAACAAAUCAAUAAGCCAAAUCAAGAUGUGCAUGUGUGGCGAAUGAAUGGUGUAUGGUGAUGAUGGUGAUAACAAUGGUGAAAACAAUGGUGGUGGAAGUCUAAUUCUACUUUGCUCUUUUUAGGGGAUACAUACCUUCCUUGCUUUUGAAACUUUAUGAGGAGAAUGAGAUGCUCUUCUUUUUCUUGUCUCUGAGGUGGGUAUCUUGUACCCCUAAUUCUACUGUCGGACAGUUGUCCAUUUUUACCUCUCGUCUCACUCUUUCUUUUCUUUCGAGGUUCCGAGCACUUGCUCCUUUUUAUUUUCUCGUAUAUUUUUUUUAUUUUCUUCUUUUUUUUAGAGCACUCAUCUCUUGAGAUAAUAUAGCAAGUGGUAGUAACAAGAUAACUUGAGCAUUUAUUUCACAAGGGGAAACAGAAAUAUUUUUGGUUAUUCUCUCCCGGAUUAGGAGUAGAAUAUUUUUAGGUGGUUCUGGAGAUGGAAAUGGAUGGAUAUAUGUGGAUGGUACUUCCGGAGUAGAAGUAGCAUAUAUGAGUGAACGUGCAAGUGAAAUCUUGAUUUAACCACAUGACAAGCUCCUAAGGGUCUACACAGCUUGACCACACUCAAUGCUCAUAAGCAGUAAAUAAUAAAUGUGUGGCUCAAAGUCUAGCAAGCAUGUAUAUAUGGCGGUGGUAGGAAUUUAAGCUCUCAUCAUACAGGAACUCAUCAUGCAACAUUUUAAAGAUUUUCAAAGAUAAAAUUCUCCAGAAUUCUAGCAUCUCUAGGAACAGAUAAACAGCAGCUCAACCUUCCCAUAUCGUAUCCGUUAACAACUUAGACUUCAGAUCAAGUUUUCAUCCCACAAGUUUAGGUCUAGGGCAAGCUUUAAAUUAUAACAGUUAUAUCUAAACUUGAGAGAGAACUUAGAAUGUGCAAAUUAGGUAGAGCAACUAUUCAUCAUAUCCAUGCUUAAGUUUUUGUUUAGAUACAGAUUAGCAUAGCCACUUUAUUUAUUUAUUAAACACACUAAGCAAAAGACAUAUAUAAGCAUAAAAUCUUUAUUUGGUUUUCCCAUAGUUUAUGUGUAUUUUAAUAUUCUAAAAUAAUAUAAGUAUAAAAAUAGAUAGAAAUACUUAUCGAGGUAAAUGGGGGUUUUCCCAUAGUUUAUGUGUAUUUUUAUUUUCUUUUUAGGAUAGUGCGAACAUGAUUAACUAAGUAAACUAGUUGAAAUAAUUAAAAGGGAAAGGAUAACUACUAAGUUUACCUCUUGGCAGGGCGUUCGGUGUUUUUAAGUCCUCCGAACGGGACUCUCCAAUUUCUUAAUCGUCCUGAGGUUCGUUGGGUGGCGAAGUCGUUACUUCUGGCAGCGCCUCCUCUUCUUGUAUAGUUAUCUUCAUUUUCCAUACCUGACUCGAUGCUUCAAUCUCCUCUGGAUAAUUCUGUUUAAACUCCACGUCUUCUGACCUUACAACUUCUCCUUCAUAGUCUGCCCAUCCGUCCUUGAUGAUCUGCCUCCUCUGGUUGCGGUUGCGUCUCUUUCUGACCUGCUUAGAUUCUUCAAUGAUAUAGUUAGGGUCAGUAAAAUAACGGCGUACCUUCUCUGAGGGGAAGUGCAUAUGGACUUCUCCGGUUCCAAUGUAGAUAAUUGCUUUAACGGUGCUGAGGAACGGUCUUCCAAGGAUGAUGGGUGGAUCGUACUCGUCUUCUCCUAUGUCAAUAACUUGAAAGUCUGUGUAGACAAAGUGAUCGUCUAUUUUGACUCGGACAUCGGAUAUUAUUCCUUGAACUUCUCGAAAUGUCUGAUCUGCCAUCUGGAGCUGAAUGUAUGUUGGUCUUAGUGGCAUGGUCCCGAACAAGAGCCGAUAAGUGACUGCGGCCAUUAUGUUGACGCCCGAUCCGGUGUCGCAAAUCGUCUUGUAGAAGUUAUAUCCAUUUACGGAGCAGUAGAUGCUUGGCAUUCCUGGGUCGUCCUUCUUGGUCAAACACGGUGACUUAAGUUGGUGAUCUUGGCCUCCAUGGACUACAGUGACCAUCUUAGCUGACUCGGUCCAUACUUGCUUGUUCCUAUUUCUCCUGUUGGUCCUCUUCCUUGAUUCACGUCUGGAUUGAUCUGGAAUUCGUGUAGUCUUGUUCUUGAAGAAAAAUGUCUCCUUGUAAGGACCUUGAUGUCGCCUAGAGGGGGGUGAAUAGGCGUACCAAAAAAACCUGAAACUCAAAACUCAAGUUGCGGAAGUUAAAUGCCUGUCGGUACCACCGACAGUUUGGGCCGGUACUACUGGUGUAAGACAGCCAGUACUACCGACGCAACUGUUGGUACUACCGACGCCCUAAGAGGGCUACGAAAUCAGAGUAUUUUGAGUUUCUAUUCCAGAUGUGAGAGUUACCCCACUCUCCUAGAUGUAGUAGAGGAUGAUGUUGAAGUUCCCUUGGCUUGGUUCUUCUCCAAAACAUAGAUCGGCCCUUGUUCACCUAUGAACGGGGUAGAUAGGAAGAACACAAAAAACACAAGAACAAGGGUAGUCGAAGCUACCUCCACAGCAAGACAUGAUAUUUAUCCCGUGGUUCAGCUCGCCACCAAGGCUUGCCUAUGUCCACGUUGUUGAGGAAGCCACACAGGCUUUUCGGGUCUCUUUCAACCCUAUCCUCGUUCUCAAGUCAAGAGAGCAAUCCCUUGAGAUGAGGGGUGAUUUCACUAGGUGAUUUGAGUGACUACAAACCUCCCGAGGCUACCACAUGAGUAGGAAGCUCUACGGGCAAUGCCUAGCCGGCUAGGAGCCUUGCUCCAAGAGUAACAAACACAAAUCCAACCGGCUUGACGAAGAAAUCAAGUGCUCAAGCUUUGCUUUGAUGUUUCUCUCACCAAGAAUCCUUCUCUCACUCAAUCCCUUGCAAGAUUUGAAGUUAGGAGCAAAGGGGAUACACGAGAGGGGCUUUUGGGAGCUAGAGAGGUGCCUUGGCUGAAGGUUUGGUCGAGUGGAAGAGUGAGCCAACGGUUAGAAAGAGGGGAAAGCUAUUUAUACAGGUGUUCAGAACAACUGCCGGUACUACCGGGGCAACCACCGGUACCACCGGCUACCUCAGAUCUAACGGUAAGAAGUCUCUAUGAUUUGCGAGAAAUAAGCCUACCGGUACCACCGGGCUUUUGUCGGUACUACCGACCAUUGCCGGUACCACCGGUGGAAGGCCGGUACCACCGGCAGUUCAAAUCUCCGCAACCAAAGUCAGCGCGGAUUUGGCCUGCCGGUACUACCGACGUUUCACACCGGUACUACUGGUGCUGGCCGGUACCACCGGCCCGAGCCCGGUACUACCGGUAGUUCAUUUUCUUGCAAAACUCAGGAGAAAGGGCUGGCAUUGCCGGUACGACCGGCCCUGAGGGUUGGUACUACCGGGUCACCUUGGCAGAGAAGAAAUUUCGUGAGUGCCUAAGAGUGCAAGUGUUAGAGUGUCUCUCUUUUGAUUAGUUUUAAUACUUGAGCACUCUAUCUUCCUCAAACCAACUAAAUUUGCAUCCCUCUUUAUAGUGCGGCAAAUCCUAAACUCAAGGUCAAAAGUAUAUAACCAAUUUAACCACUUGAGUCUUCAAUGUCUUCAUAUGCCACUUCUUCUCAAUAUCACUUCAUCAAGGAUGCAAUUAACUUUGUCUCAUCUUCUUUGAGUAAAUAUAGCUUGAGCAUGUGACUUUAAUCAUUUCAACAUAUGUGAGUUCAAUCCAUGACUUCAAGUCACUUCCAUUAAAGAUUUUGAUCCUCAACACAAUAUGACUCAUCAUAGCUUAAUUAGUACCUCGACUCAAUGCAAGUACUCUCUUCUUCACCUUAGCCAUGGUACCUCGGUCUACAAGCCAUUGCUUGACCUUCACCUUCGCUUAGUCCCUCGAAGCCUUUUCCUUGCUAUCUUCACUCUAUCAAGCCAUACUCAAGUCACAUCAUGUUAAGCAUCCAUUGAAAAAUUGUUUCUUCAAUAUUGUGAUUCUUGCUUGAAUAUCUUCUUGAUAUGAGCGUUAACAUUAAACAAGCUUCAGUUUACACCAACACACAACUUUGGUCUUCAUUUGAACAAUGUGUGAAAUACCAUCAAGUUUGCUUUCUUGUUGACCCUUUGAUACACUUAGCAAACUUGUUAGACCCUUAAUUGUGUUGUCAUUCAAUUCACCAAAACCCACUAAAGGGCUAGAUGCACUUACACUCCUUCUUCCCUUUGACGUAUAAACUGAUCUUGGCAGCUCUGGCGUAGAUGAUAGCUCCUGUGGUGUUCAAAAAUGGCCUUCCUAGGAUGAUAGGUGCUCUCUCAUCAUUUCCGGUCUCUACCACUACGAAGUCUGCUGGGGCAUACAAGGUACCAACUCGGACACAAAGGUUCCUCACUAUUCCUUUUGGAAAAGUUAUCGUCUGAUCUGCAAACUGCAAACACAUGGUUGUCUCUAAUAAAGGAUAUGUAAAGAAUUUCUCAUAGAGUACCCUGGGUAUAAUGUUGACGCUAUAGCCAAAGUCAUAGAGUGCUUCUGGAACAUCCACCAUGCCGAUGGAGAUCGGGAUGACGGGGCGUCCUGGAUCGCCUCUCUUGACCGGCAGACGGUCAGUAGAAAAUUCAGUGACGGGGUUACUCCAAUUACCUGCAUGAAACAUGUCUACAAGAUUUGCAGAUUCUAAUCCUUCCGUUUGUGAUGGUAUACCGGGGUUAGUAGUAGGAACAGCAGCAACUAUUUGAUUUAACUGAGAUUCAAUCAUUUUAUUAAAGCUAAUUUGAUUCUUGAUGGCAGUAGAGAAAUUAUCCAUUCUAUUAUUUAUAUUUUCUAGCAUUUUAUCAUUUGAUGCCAAUUUCUUAGACAGGUUAUCCAUUAGCUUUCCUUGAUUAGACACUAACUCUCUCAAAGGUGGAAAAUUAUUAUUAUUGUUGUAAGAAUUGUUACCUUGAUAAUUACCUGAGUAGUUAGGCCUCUGUUGAUUCCAACCUUGAUUUUGUUGAGGACGGUUGUAGUUGUUGUUGUUGUUGUUGAUGUAGUUCACAUCCUCAAGCAUCUUAGGGCAGUGGUUGCCUGAGUGUCCAGUGUCUCCACACUCCUCACAAGCCAAAAAUGCUUGUUGGGUAUUCUUAACAUCAUUACCAAAAGUAGACUAAGUUCUCUAAAUCUAGUAACGGUGCCAAAAAUGUCAAACCUAUCCCUCACACCACUUAAGCCAAGUUGUCAUCCCCAGCAUGAUAUAAGAGACGCGGUAUUGAAAUAUGCAAUUGCUCUUCUAAAUAAAUAAUGAAUUGGAUCUGCAAGCGCACAGAUUAAUACCGAUGUAGCAUUUUAACCGGGAAGUAUUCCAGGUAUCGUUAUUUAUAUUUUUACCACUGGGAAGGGAUUAGCAAUCAUCACUACUGAUUACAGAAUAGAAUAUGAGAUUGAGCAUCUAUCAUUGCAUGUAUAAUUGAGAACAUUAUAUCUAACUCUUCAUACAGGGAUAAGUGUCACAUAAAGGAUAUAUGAAAUAAUAAUAGUGACAAAGAUAAGUAAUCUGAUCUAGCCACAUAAUAAAUAUGAUAAGCACCUCAAUUAGAUACUCUAGAAAGUCAUUAGCAUGGUAUUAGAACGAACUACAAGAAUAUUCCCUAAGUUAUUCUCAACUAUAUAGUCUAGCAUAUCAUAGUUAGUGCAAGCAUACUUAGCAAUCAUUGCGAGACAAGACUACGCCCAUGCAUAGUGAUAUUAGCAAGGAAUAUGAGAAACAUAGCAAUCACUCCCCUGUAAUAAUGUUGCUCUGCCAGCCCAAUACACGAGAGGGGGACUAUAUAAGAAUCAAUGAAGCUGUCACUAUCACGAACCACCCCACGAUCUGGCAUAUUGGGUACAAUCGCAGAUAAAUACGGUAUAAGCACCACGCCUACACAAUAUCUAUCAUUUACCCAUGGAUCUGAUGGAUAAACGCUAUACGAUCCUAAGCAUGUAUAUAGAUCCAAUCUAACUAAGCCAAGUACAUAACUAUGAUAAACUAAGAACAAUAUAAUCUUGAAUAUAAGCAAGUAGAGCAAGGUCAUAAGCAAUAUAUUGAAGUAGAACAAAGUCAUAUUCAUAAUAUUGAAGAACAAAGAUAAUUAGAAAGCAAUUAGAAGCACAAUUAGAGAAUUACCAAGAAUCCUCUUGACAGAUCCGAAAACCAAUCGAAGAUUGACUCCUUCUAGUUCUAAUCCUAUGUAGCUAUGCUAAUCUAGAUAUCUAAUUGAUGUGGUGGCUCUAAUCUUGAUCAGAGGCUUCUUCUCCCUUGAUGGAACAAUGAAUUAGGGUUGAGAGGCUCUCUCCUCCAGGGGCCAGGGGGUCUGGUUUUAUAGUCCCUUCAAGUGAAUAUGGGCCCUUGGAUCAAACCGACAUAGAUUGUAUGGUUUAGAUUCAUCCUUUAGGUCGGUGGAGACUUCCCGCAAAGCAGAGUCCUGAUUGGACUUGGGAGCAGGGCGGGCGCCCAGUAGGACAGGGCGGGCGCCCUGUCUCUAGCCCUGAUUCGCCUCAGCUUCGGUCUCGUGGCUUCUGGAGUCUUCUAGAUGUAAGAUAAUUGCGCAGCACGUUAAUACCUUUACGUAAUCCUGACAUGUGGGCCUUUCUUCCAUAUUUCCUGAUAACCCCCUGCAGAAAUAGACAAACACCAAAACUCGUGGAAUUCUGUCAGAUAAAACCCUAAGUCUAGAUCUUGAAUUCAUUUGGAUCCUUUUCUUUAUUUAUUUGAUAAUUAAAUUUGAUACUUAAGGACCGUCAACAAACUCCCCCAAGCUUACCUCUUGCUCGUCCCUGAGCAAGGAUAGACUCAGCUAUGGAUCAUAAGUUGUUGCUAUAUUUUAAAAUUUUGACGGUACACAUGCUUUUAAAUAAGAUCUCAUCUCUGAGUUAGAGUAAACUGUCAAGAUUUAAAACUUACUUACUUUACCUACACCAUGGGACUUGUAACUGUCACUUCUGUCUUGAGUGGUUAAAAGAUAGAACAGUCUAGCCAAGUGCCAUGUCUCUUAUUCUUGAUCAGCUAUAACUCUGGGGUUUUUUGCAGAUUUUCAAAUAAAACUCAAAGAUUCCUUGUAUGAUUCUCUCAGGUCUCUCUUUUGUGGUAUUUUUGGAUCCUUACCAAGGCAUUGAUGGUAUAUGCCUUCUCUCAAGAUAUGUAGUAUUUGUGGUAUAAGGCAUAGUGACAUUGCCUUCUCUCUCACCCUACUCUAAUAAGGCUUUAAUAUCUGGAGCUCAUAGGUGGGAGAUAAAGUGUACAUACUUACAAGACAUUUAUUGCAUAGUCAAACCAUGGAUCCAAAGUAACAAGUCAUUAAGCCAAAUCAAGAUGUGCAUGUGUGGCGAAUGAAUGGUGUAUGGUGAUGAUGGUGAUAACAAUGGUGAAAACAAUGGUGGUGGAUGUCUAAUUCUACUUUGCUCUUUGAGGGGAUACAUACCUUCCUUGCUUUUGAAACUUUAUGAGGAGAAUGAGAUGCUCUUCUUUUUCUUGUCUCUCAGGUGGGUAUCUUGCACCCCUAAUUCUACUGUCGGACACUUGUCCAUUUUUACCUCUCGUCUCACUCUUUCUUUUCUUUCGAGGUUCCGAGCACUUGCUCCUUUUUAUUUCCUCGUAUAUUUUUUUUAUUUUCUUCUUUUUUCUAGAGCACUCAUCUCUUGAGAUAAUAUAGCAAGUGGUAGUAACAAGAUAACUUGAGCAUUUAUUUCACAAGGGGAAACAGAAAUAUUUUUGGUUAUUCUCUCCCGGAUUAGGAGCAGAAUAUUUUUGGGUGAUUCUGGAGAUGGAAAUGGUUGGAUAUAUGUGGAUGGUACUUCCGGAGUAGAAGUAGCAUAUAUGAGUGAACGUGCAAGUGAAAUCUUGAUUUAACCACAUGACAAGCUCCUAAGGGUCUACACAGCUUGACCACACUCAAUGCUCAUAAGCAGUAAAUAAUAAAUGUGUGGCUCAAAGUCUAGCAAGCAUGUAUAUAUGGCUGUGGUAGGAAUUUAAGCUCUCAUCAUACAGGAACUCAUCAUGCAACAUUUUAAAGAUUUUCAAAGAUAAAAUUCUCCAGAAUUCUAGCAUCUCUAGGAACAGAUAAACAGCAGCUCAACCUUCCCAUAUCGUAUCCGUUAACAACUUAGACUUUAGAUCAAGUUUUCAUCCCACAAGUUUAGGUCUAGGGCAAGCUUUAAAUUAUAACAGUUAUAUCUAGACUUGAGAGAGAACUUAGAAUGUGCAAAUUAGGCAGAGCAACUAUUCAUCAUAUCCAUGCUUAAGUUUUUGUUUAGAUACAGAUUAGCAUAGCCACUUUAUUUAUUUAUUAAACACACUAAGCAAAAGACAUAUAUAAGCAUAAAAUCUUUAUUUGGUUUUCCCAUAGUUUAUGUGUAUUUUAAUAUUCUAAAAUAAUAUAAGUAUAAAAAUAGAUAGAAAUACUUAUCAAGGUAAAUGGGGGUGCUCUCCCCCAAGCUGAAUUUUGACGUAAUUUCUCUUAAUGUAGCUAGCAGGUGGCAGAGGUGUAUUUGAAAGUCAGCAGUAUUCUGACAGCGAUUAGAAUGUCCUCCGUCUGCCAGUCUUCUUGAUUCUUAAAUUCUGUGGAGCUCAAAUAGACAACAAAGCUUGUGGAACUGAUUAAGUGUUAGCAUAAAUAUCUAGCCUUUAUUAUCUUGAGACUCCUCAAUAAAUAUUACUCCCUGUUUUUAUAUUUUUUUAUUUUAUAAAGCAGAAAUGAAAUUUUUAUUUUAUUUUUAUGCCACCACAGUGAAUGUAUUUAUGGGUUUUAUGCCACUCGUAUACUCACAUGGGGCUUACUGUUUUUUCACAUUUUUAUUUUCUUUUUAGGAUAGUGCGAACAUGAUUAACUAAGUAAACUAGUUGAAAUAAUUAAAAGGGAAAGGAUAACUACUAAGUUUACCUCUUGGCAGGGCGUUCGGUGUUUUUAAGUCCUCCGAACGGGACUCUCCAAUUUCUUAAUCGUCCUGAGGUUCGUUGGGUGGCGAAGUCGGUACUUCUGGCAGCGCCUCCUCUUCUUGUAUAGUUAUCUUCAUUUUCCAUACCUGACUCGGUGCUUCAAUCUCCUCUGGACAAUUCUGUUUAAACUCCACGUCUUCUGACCUUACAACUUCUCCUUCAUAGUCUGCCCAUCCGUCCUUGAUGAUCUGCCUCCUCUGGUUGCGGUUGCGUCUCUUUCUGACCUGCUUAGAUUCUUCAAUGAUAUAGUUAGGGUCAGUAAAAUAACGGCGUACCUUCUCUGAGGGGAAGUGCAUAUGGACUUCUCCGGUUCCAAUGUAGAUAAUUGCUUUAACGGUGCUGAGGAACGGUCUUCCAAGGAUGAUGGGUGGAUCGUACUCGUCUUCUCCCAUGUCAAUAACUUGAAAGUCUGUGUAGACAAAGUGAUCGUCUAUUUUGACUGAGACAUCAGAUAUUAUUCCUUGAACUUCUCGAAAUGUCUGAUCUGCCAUCUGGAGCUGAAUGUAUGUUGGUCUUAGUGGCAUGGUCCCGAACAAGAGCUGAUAAGUGACUGCGGCCAUUAUGUUAACGCCCGAUCCGGUGUCGCAAAUCGUCUUGUAGAAGUUAUAUCCAUUUAUGGAGCAGUAGAUGCUUGGCAUUCCUGGGUCGUCCUUCUUGGUCAAAAACGGUGACUUAAGUUGGUGAUCUUGGCCUCCAUGGACUACAGUGACCAUCUUAGCUGAAUCGGUCCACACUUGCUUGUUCCUGUUCCUCCUGUUGGUCCUCUUCCCUGAUUCACGUCUGGAUUGAUCUGGAAUUUGUGUAGUAUUGUUCUUGAAGAAAAAUGUCUCCUUCUUUCCUUUGAUGUAGAAACUGAUCUUGGCAGCACUAGCAUAGAUGAUAGCUCCCGUGGUGUUCAAAAAUGGCCUUCCUAGGAUGAUAGGUGCUCUCUCAUCAUUUCUGGUCUCAACCACUACGAAGUCUGCUGGGGCAUAUAAAGUACCAACUCGGACACAAAGGUUCCUCACUAUUCCUUUUGGAAAAGUUAUCGUCUGAUCUGCAAACUGCAAACACAUGGUUGUUUCUAACAAAGGAUAUGUAAAGAAUUUCUCAUAGAGUACCCUGGGUAUAAUGUUGACGCUAGAGCCAAAGUCACAGAGUGCUUCUGGAACGUCCACCAUGCCGAUGGAGAUCGGGAUGACGGGGCGUCCUGGAUCGCCUCUCUUGACCGGUAGACGGUCAGUAGAAAAUUCAGUGACGGGGUUACUCCAAUUACCUGCAUCAAACAUGUCUACAAGAUUUGCAGAUUCUAAUCCUUCCGGUUGUGAUGGUAUACUGGGGUUAGUAGUAGGAACAGCAGCAGCUAUUUGAUUUAACUGAGAUUCAAUCAUUUUAUUAAAGCUAAUUUGAUUCUUGAUGGCAGUAGAGAAAUUAUCCAUUCUAUUAUUUAUAUUUUCUAGCAUUUUAUCAUUAGACACCAAUUUCUUAGAUAGAUUAUCCAUUAGCUUUCCUUGAUUAGACACUAACUCUCUCAAAGGUGGAAAAUUAUUAUUAUUGUUGUAAGAAUUGUUACCUUGAUAAUUACCUGAGUAGUUAGGCCUCUGUUGAUUCCAACCUUGAUUUUGUUGAGGACGGUUGUAGUAGUAGUUGUUGUUGUUGUUGAUGUAGUUCACAUCCUCAAGCAUCUCAGGGCAGUGGUUGCCUGAGUGUCCAGUGUCUCCACACUCCUCACAAGUCAUGUGAGAGUCGUAGAUGUGCAUAACUUCUUUCUUGUCUCUAGCUCUAUCGUCGAGCUUCUUCAUGAGCAGGUCUAGCUUUGCAGACAGCAUGCCUACCUCCUUGAGCUGAUGUAUACCUCCACCUCUCUUGCGUGUCUGGGUCCUCUCUUCAUUCCAGCUUUGGUUGGACGCCAUCUUCUCCACAAGAGCUGUGGCUUGUGGUAUAGUAAGUGAUAAGAAUGCUCCUCCAGCUGCAGCAUCCAUGGUCUCUCGGGCACUGUUGCUGAGGCCAUGAUAGAAUGUCUGCAUCAGUAGCCAACUCUCCAUUCCAUGAUGGGGACAUUCUAGGAUGUAGUCUUGAAAGCGCUCCCAUGCUUCUGGAACAGAUUCAUCAUUUUAUUGCUGAAAACUUGUAAUCUUCCCACGGAGAGCAUUGGUCUUGCCCAUGGGAAAGAACUUAGCCAGGAAGUUUGUUGAGCAGAGUGCCCACGUAGUAUUCUUCUCCUUUGUAGCGUAGAACCACUGCUUCGCUCUUCCUAACAGUGAGAAUGGGAAGAGGCGAAGUAGUAUAGCGUCUUUGGAAACUCCUGCUAUGGUGAAUGUGUUGCAAAUCUCCAGGAAGUGUUGUAAAUGAGCACUAGCGUCUUCGUGUGCCUUCCCACAGAACUAGUUGGAUUGCACCAUGUUGAUAAGUCCAGGCUUGAGCUCAAAGUUGCCAUCGAUCUCUGCAGCAGGUCCAGUGCGGAUGUUGUCCGUAGUGGGAGCUGAGAACUCGCGGAUUGAUUUGUUCGCCAUUGCUUCGAACUCUGAAGACAAGUUCCGGUGAUCUUCUUGAUUGGAUGAAGCUUCUUCGUGAAGUGUUGAUGAUUUCUUUAGCUUGGCUCUCGUCUUCUUGAAUAAUGCUUCAGGAUUGUCAACAAAAUUUCCUGGAAGAUGUCUUCUAUUCAUACAUUCCCCUGCAUAAGAUAAAAUAGAAAAAUAUCGGGGUAAAACUGUAUGAGAGAAUAGAUAAGCUCAAUCAUAUUAGUGAUGCGAAUGAUAACUCAAAAUCUUUUUAUUCCAUUCCUGAUUAGUAAUAAACCUUCCCCGGCAACGGCGCCAAAAAUGCUUGUUGGGUAUUCUUAACAUCAUUACCAAAAGUAGACUAAGUUCUCUAAAUCUAGUAACGGUGCCAAAAAUGCCAAACCUAUCCCUCACACCACUUAAGCCAAGUUGUCAUCCCCAGCAUGAUAUAAGAGACGCGGUAUUGAAAUAUGCAAUUGCUCUUCUAAAUAAAUAAUGAAUUGGAUCUGCAAGCGCACAGAUUAAUACCGAUGUAGCAUUUUAACCGGGAAGUAUUCCAGGUAACGUUAUUUAUAUUUUUACCACUGGGAAGGGAUUAGCAAUCAUCACUAUUGAUUACAGAAUAGAAUAUGAGAUUGAGCAUCUAUCAUUGCAUGUAUAAUUGAGAACAUUAUAUCUAACUCUUCAUACAGGGAUAAGUGUCACAUAAAGGAUAUAUGAAAUAAUAAUAGUGACAAAGAUAAUUAAUCUGAUCUAGCCACAUAAUAAAUAUGAUAAGCACCUCAAUUAGAUACUCUAGAAAGUCAUUAGCAUGGUAUUAGAACGAACUACAAGAAUAUUCCCUAAGUUAUUCUCAACUAUAUAGUCUAGCAUAUCAUAGUUAGUGCAAGCAUACUUAGCAAUCAUUGCGAGACAAGACUACGCCCAAGCAUAGUGAUAUUAGCAAGGAAUAUGAGAAACAUAGCAAUCACUCCCCUGUAAUAAUGUUGCUCUGCCAGCCCAAUACACGAGAGGGGGACUAUAUAAGAAUCAAUGAAGCUGUCACUAUCACGAACCACCUCACGAUCUGGCAUAUUGGGUACAAUCGCAGAUAAAUACGGUAUAAGCACCACGCCUACACAAUAUCUAUCAUUUACCCAUGGAUCCGAUGGAUAAACGCUAUACGAUCCUAAGCAUGUAUAUAGAUCUAAUCUAACUAAGCCAAGUACAUAACUAUGAUAAACUAAGAACAAUAUAAUCUUGAAUAUAAGCAAGUAGAGCAAAGUCAUAAGCAAUAUAUUGAAGUAGAACAAAGUCAUGUUCAUAAUAUUGAAGAACAAAGAUAAUUAGAAAGCAAUUAGAAGGACAAUUAGAGAAUUACCAAGAAUCCUCUUGACAGAUCCGGAAACCAAUCGAAGAUUGACUCCUUCUAGUUCUAAUCCUAUGUAGCUAUGCUAAUCUAGAUAUCUAAUUGAUGUGGUGGCUCUAAUCUUGAUCAGAGGCUUCUUCUCCCUUGAUGGAACAAUGAAUUAGGGUUGAGAGGCUCUCUCCUCCAGGGGCCAGGGGGUUUGGUUUUAUAGUCCCUUCAAGUGAAUAUGGGCCCUUGGAUCAAACCGACAUAGAUUGUAUGGUUUAGAUUCAUCCUUUAGGUCGGUGGAGACUUCCCGCAAAGCAGAGUCCUGAUUGGACUUGGGAGCAGGGCGGGCGCCCAGUAGGACAGGGCGGGCGCCCUGUCUCUGGCCCCGAUUCGCCUCAGCUUCGGUCUCGUGGCUUCUGGAGUCUUCUAGAUGUAAGAUAAUUGCGCAGCACGUUAAUACCUUUACGUAAUCCUGACAUGUGGGCCUUUCUUCCAUAUUUCCUGAUAACCCCCUGCAGAAAUAGACAAACACCAAAACUCAUGGAAUUCUGUCUGAUAAAACCCUAAGUCUAGAUCUUGAAUUCAUUUGGAUCCUUUUCUUUAUUUAUUUGAUAAUUAAAUUUGAUACUUAAGGACCGUCAACAGAGAUCAUACCUCUUCUACAGAAUCAAAGUUAGGGUUUCAAUUCUUCAUCCAAGUAGAGAGGAUCCCUCUAGUUCUUCUAGUUCUACCUCUAGUUCAUCAAGAUCUAGUUCUAGUUCAUCUAGUUCUAGUUCUAGUUCCUCUAGUUCUAGUUCUAGUUAGUUUUAGUUGUAAUAUAGAAAAUAGGGAGAGAGAAGAGGAGAGCGGAGGAGGAGCCGGAUCUGUCGGAUCUUCCUCAACAUUAUACUUUUGCAGCAUCUGGUUCGUUCUUCAUCGUUCUCCAGGUUCUUCAAUUCAUAAUCCUGAGUUCUCUAAUUACUUUUAUUUACAUUCAAGUUAUUUAUUAGAUUCCCGCUUGCAAUAAGUGCUCUAGUCUUUAUAACGCUAGAGUAGUAAUUAAUAGAUUAGACGUGGUGUUUAGUCUUGCAAUUACCUGGAAUUGCACCCAAUCUUGCGGAUUGUUGUGGUAGCCUUAGGGUAGUGACGGCCCUAACGGUCGACGUAUUCCACCUCGUUCGGAUCGGUGUUUGUAGGACCGUAGUCGGAGCUUCCUAGCCCCCUUCUCAUCUCUUUUUGUGGUUAGUGUUCUUAUGUCCCGAAAUAGAUAAUCUUGAGGUAAUUCUUGAUUCUUAGAUCAACUAGAGAACUCUUAGGAAACUUCCUCUCUUCCCACCAAAAAAAACAAUUAUAUAUUUAUCCUUAGGCGAUCUUGGAUCUUAAUUAGUACACUCACGUUCUCUGUGGAAAAUCGAUACUCUGGAAUACUCCCGGGUGAAGGCUACAUCGGUAUCCGUGCACUUGCGGAUUUUUCUGUUUGCGUUUAACAUACCCAACAACAUGAAGCAAUUAGACUAAAGUCCUAAGUGAGAAUAAUACAACAUACACUACACUUAGCACUAGUUCAUAUAAUACACUACUAGCCCUAGGGUAGCAUUAUACGAUAAGAACUAUAUACUAAAAUGUAUGUCAUAUUAUUUUCACUAGAACUAUAUUCUAGUUCAUAUGCUAGCAUCAUAAAACAUGGCCUAUGAUCUAUAUCAUAUACCAUAGCAUAAGAACUAUACUCUAGUUCAUAUGAAGAACAAUAUCGCACAUGAUAAGGCAUGGACUUGGAGUAAAGAUAUUCUUUAUUCAUACCCAAGUUUCUCUCCAAGGAGCCAAGCCCUCCUUGAUAGCUCACCCAACUCUCUCUCUAAAAGCUAAAAGGAAAAACUAAGAAGAGGUAGUGCCCAAGUGCCUUGAAGGUGGAGUGUUGAUUGUGAAUGUGAUGAGAUGAAUGGAGCCUCCCUCUCCCCCUCCUUAAAUAGGUGGGGAAGGUCAGUUCCCCAGGGUGUAAACUGCAAUUUGGACGCGGGGACUACUGGAGGAUAGGCUCAGCACCGCCUCUGCGAAAGGCGGUGCCGAGAUGGGCUGGGUCAGGGUCGGCCGACCCUAGGGGGCAGCCGCCCUCUGGUGGGCCCCGCUGGCCCCGGCCCGAAGCCCGUUGCCUUCCUCUCGGGCCCCUGAGUCCAGAUCCACCUGCAAAUUGAUGCACUUCUAUAUUGGGCUUUUGGGUACUUGUUUAUUUGCGCAUUUUUUGACGUGUCGGAUUGCGCCUUUUUAUUUUCUUUCUACCUGUAUGUCUGUAUAUGAUCUGCAAAACACAACUUGCACUACAUGUGGAACUUGGUAAGCAUUUAAUAAGUAUAUGUGAGUAAAAUACAUGCUUUUCUUCCUUUGCAUAGACUAUGUUGGCGGGUUAAAUAUGUCAUUAAGAACCGCCAACAAACUCCCCCAAGCUUACCCCUUGCUCGACCUCGAGCAAGAAGCUAAGAUCUUUGUUGUUGAUGAGGAGUUGCUACAAUAUUUUCACUUCUAUCCAGUACAUACCUUCAAACAAGAAUUCUCCUUCGAAUUUUGAACAGAUAUGUCAUGGGGCUUAUUGCUCAUACCUUGGGUCCUUAAGCAUUUGCAGGAUGGAUUUGAUCAGAUCGAGCGCUAUGUCCCUAGUUCUUUACUUCACUUUUGUUCUGGAGUUUUUGAUUUUCAAAACAUAGCACAUUUAUUUGUCAAAUGAAACAAUGGAUCCAAAGAGAAAGUUAAUCAUACCAUUGAAUUUUUGAAAACUUUUUCUUUUCCAUCAUUCUCUUUUUGUCUAUUAGAGACACAUGGCUAUGUUAAUUCUACUGUUGGGCACUUGCCCAUUUUUUUUUUAUUUUUUUCGAGGUUCCGCACACAUGUCCCUUUUUAUUUCCUCGUGAUCUUUCUUUUUGAGGUUUCAGACACAUGUCCCUUUUUAUUUCCUCGGAUGCUUUUCUUUUCUUUUUCAUAGCCAUAUGUCUUCUAACAAACCUUUGAGAUGAUAACAUAAUGAAAUAUUUUUGUUUUCAAUGGUAUGACAACCUCUCAAAGGGUCAACAAAGCUUAAUCUAACUCAAUGUGAUUAUUUUAUUUUUGUAAAAACUCUAGAACUCUAGCGUUGUUUAGAACAGGAUACUAGCAGCUCAUAUCAUCACAAAUAUAUCCAUUAAUUGCUUUAGACUUUAGAUAGAGCAUUUUGCAACCCACGCAUUUAAUCAUUUUAUUAAUUUGGAGAAUUCAAGGUUGAAACUAGAUACUGGAAAGAAAUUACGAUAGAGCAACUAUUCAUCAUUUCAACAAGGAAGAAGCAUAUAUCUUACAUCACAUAUAAGAGUGGAAUUAUAUUUUUGUCUUUUUAGCAUUUUUCAUCAUUUAUUUUAUAUGGAAUAAUUAAAACAUGAAUUUAACUAAUGGAAAUUUCAUAAAGUAAACAUGCUAAUUUAAAAUUAAGGAUGCAUGAAAAUAAAUAUGUAAUGCAGAUAACCUCGGGAUUGGGGGUCCUCCCCCAAGCUAGCUUCUGGCCUACUGAUCGGGGUUGUACCCCAUGUACCGCCAGAAGUCUUGGGACUGUUUCAGCAGCUGAUCUUGGCGAGCUUGCAUUUCUUCUUGCUGCUGCUGGUGCCAGGCCUGUUGUUGCUGUUGCCAUAGCAACCCUUGCUGGUGCCACUCCACGGCCUGCUGGUGGUGCGCAUCGGUGGUUUGGAUGUGUUGUUGGAGACUAUCCUGGAUCUCAUCCGUGCGCACCACCAGUCCCCCAAGCUGAGCUUGGAGGCGCUCCAAGUCGGUUCGGCCUACUGUGGAGGCCGAAGGAUGUUCUUGUGGUGAUUCGGCCCUCCAGCACGAUUGUUGUUCCCAAGCGCUGGAAUCCGCCUCAGCCCACCCCUCAACACCUUAUGUCGGCAUGGGUGUGUCCCACCCCGACUGGUAGAUCGGCUGUGUAUAGGAGGGUGGUGGCUGGGAGCUAGAUCCGCCGAUGUCCCUACCAGAAACACUACGCCUUCAUGCAGUUUCAGCUGUCUGCAGAUCAAAGGUUAGUCUCCCAGAGUUAUACAAGCGUAGACCCGGGUUAGGUAACCGGAUUACGUUUGUAUACCCUAGGACAUAAAACACAAGACCGCCCGCAUUAUCUCUUUUCAAAUGGUGACCUUGGAUAAGAUAGGUUUCAUUAAUCAUGGUGCGUGGAAUUUGAAUAUAAUCAAGAUCUUGCCCUUCCAACGCACCAAUGGCCAUGGCCACACGUGUUAUGAGUGAAGUCAUUGGGGUGGUUGUCUUGAUUAUAUCUAACCAAUGCCUUACAAUUUCUUGCACAGGCGCAACUUUUAUUUUCAUUCUAGCCGCGUAAAGUAACCUCAUUUCAUUUACUCGCACAACGCGGGUAUCCUGGCUAGGAAACAUUGUUAUGGAUAGCCAAAGGUGUAAAAACCUUAGAGUGGGGUGUUGGAUGUGGGCAUUUCUAGGAUAGUAUUUUCUAGUGUGAACUUGCCCCGUGAUUUCUUCCCAAAACUUAUCCUUAUUAAACCCUUUUAUGGCAUGCACUAAAUCAAGAGAGCAUCUUUGACGAAAACCAAGGAAUUUGCUUAAGUCUUUCCAAAAGAUAGCAUAUUCAUUUCCAAAUAAACGAACAAAAAUACCUUCAUAUGUUUCUCUUAAAGUGCAUAGGAAUUGAAUGGUAAGGGUAUAGGAUCCAUACUCAGUUAUGGGGUGAAUGUUGUCCCACCCGGCGGCUUUCCAUAUGGAGAGGAAUUCAGAGUCCAUACCGAUGUCGGAGAGGAGCGAGUCAUUGUAGACCGGCGUAUGGAGGAAGAUCCGGUCCUUGAGAUCCGGUACUACCGGUAGUUCAUUUUCUCGCAAAACUCAGGAGAAAGGGCUGGCAUUGCCGGUACGACCGGCCCUGAGGGUUGGUACUACCGGGUCACCUUGGCAGAGAAGAAAUUUCCUGAGUGCCUAAGAGUGCAAGUGUUAGAGUGUCUCUCUUUUGAUUAGUUUUAAUACUUGAGCACUCUAUCUUCCUCAAACCAACUAAAUUUGCAUCCCUCUUUAUAGUGCGGCAAAUCCUAAACUCAAGGUCAAAAGUAUAUAACCAAUUUAACCACUUGAGUCUUCAAUGUCUUCAUAUGCCACUUCUUCUCAAUAUCACUUCAUCAAGGAUGCAAUUAACUUUGUCUCAUCUUCUUUGAGUAAAUAUAGCUUGAGCAUGUGACUUGAAUCAUUUCAACAUAUGUGAGUUCAAUCCAUGACUUCAAGUCACUUCCAUUAAAGAUUUUGAUCCUCAACACAAUAUGACUCCUCAUAGCUUAAUUAGUACCUCGACUCAAUGCAAGUACUCUCUUCUUCACCUUAGCCAUGGUACCUCGGUCUACAAGCCAUUGCUUGACCUUCACCUUCGCUUAGUCCCUCGAAGCCUUUUCCUUGCUAUCUUCACUCUAUCAAGCCAUACUCAAGUCACAUCAUGUUAAGCAUCCAUUGAAAAAUUGUUUCUUCAAUAUUGUGAUUCUUGCUUGAAUAUCUUCUUGAUAUGAGCGUUAACAUUAAACAAGCUUCAGUUUACACCAACACACAACUUUGGUCUUCAUUUGAACAAUGUGUGAAAUACCAUCAAGUUUGCUUUCUUGUUGACCCUUUGAUACACUUAGCAAACUUGUUAGACCCUUAAUUGUGUUGUCAUUCAAUUCACCAAAACCCACUAAAGGGCUAGAUGCACUUACACUCCUUCUUCCCUUUGACGUAUAAACUGAUCUUGGCAGCACUGGCGUAGAUGAUAGCUCCUGUGGUGUUCAAAAAUGGCCUUCCUAGGAUGAUAGGUGCUCUCUCAUCAUUUCCGGUCUCUACCACUACGAAGUCUGCUGGGGCAUACAAGGUACCAACUCGGACACAAAGGUUCCUCACUAUUCCUUUUGGAAAAGUUAUCGUCUGAUCUGCAAACUGCAAACACAUGGUUGUCUCUAAUAAAGGAUAUGUAAAGAAUUUCUCAUAGAGUACCCUGGGUAUAAUGUUGACGCUAUAGCCAAAGUCAUAGAGUGCUUCUGGAACGUCCACCAUGCCGAUGGAGAUCGGGAUGACGGGGCGUCCUGGAUCGCCUCUCUUGACCGGCAGACGGUCAGUAGAAAAUUCAGUGACGGGGUUACUCCAAUUACCUGCAUGAAACAUGUCUACAAGAUUUGCAGAUUCUAAUCCUUCCGUUUGUGAUGGUAUACCGGGGUUAGUAGUAGGAACAACAGCAGCUAUUUGAUUUAACUGAGAUUCAAUCAUUUUAUUAAAGCUAAUUUGAUUCUUGAUGGCAGUAGAGAAAUUAUCCAUUCUAUUAUUUAUAUUUUCUAGCAUUUUAUCAUUUGAUGCCAAUUUCUUAGAUAGGUUAUCCAUUAGCUUUCCUUGAUUAGACACUAACUCUCUCAAAGGUGGAAAAUUAUUAUUAUUGUUGUAAGAAUUGUUACCUUGAUAAUUACCUGAGUAGUUAGGCCUCUGUUGAUUCCAAUCUUGAUUUUGUUGAGGACGGUUGUAGUUGUUGUUGUUGUUGUUGAUGUAGUUCACAUCCUCAAGCAUCUUAGGGCAGUGGUUGCCUGAGUGUCCAGUGUCUCCACACUCCUCACAAGUCAUGUGAGAGUCGUAGAUGUGCAUAACUUCUUUCUUGUCUCCAGCUCUAUCAUCGAGCUUCUUCAUGAGCAGGUCUCGCUUUGCAGACAGCAUGUCUACCUCCUUGAGCUGAUGUAUACCUCCACCUCUCUUGCGUGUCUGGGUCCUCUCUUCAUUCCAGCUUUGGUUGGACGCCAUCUUCUCCACAAGAGCUGUGGCUUGUGGUAUAGUAAGUGAUAAGAAUGCUCCUCCAGCUGCAGCAUCCAUGGUCUCUCGGGCACUGUUGCUGAGGCCAUGAUAGAAUGUCUGCAUCAGUAGCCAACUCUCCAUUCCAUGAUGGGGACAUUCUAGGAUGUAGUCUUGAAAGCGCUCCCAUGCUUCUGGAACAGAUUCAUCAUUUUGUUGCUGAAAACUUGUAAUCUUCCCACGGAGAGCAUUGGUCUUGCCCAUGGGAAAGAACUUAGCCAGGAAGUUUGUUGAGCAGAGUGCCCACGUAGUAUUCUUCUCCUUUGUAGCGUAGAACCACUGCUUCGCUCUUUCUAAUAGUGAGAAUGGGAACAGGCGAAGUAUUAUAGCGUCUUUGGAAACUCCUGCUAUGCUGAAUGUGUUGCAAAUCUCCAGGAAGUGUUGUAAAUGAGCACUAGCGUCUUCGUGUGCCUUCCCACAGAACUGGUUGGAUUGCACCAUGUUGAUAAGUCCAGGCUUGAGCUCAAAGUUGCCAUCGAUCUCUGCAGCAGGUCCAGUGCGGAUGUUGUCCGUAGUGGGAGUUGAGAACUCGCGGAUUGAUUUGUUCGCCAUGGCUUCGAACUCUGAAGACAAGUUCCGGUGAUCUUCUUGAUUGGAUGAAGCUUCUUCGUGAAGUGUUGAUGAUUUCUUUAGCUUGGCUCUCGUCUUCUUGAAUAAUGCUUCAGGAUUGUCAACAAAAUUUCCUGGAAGAUGUCUUCUAUUCAUACAUUCCCCUGCAUAAGAUAAAAUAGAAAAAUAUCGGGGUAAAACUGUAUGAGAGAAUAGAUAAGCUCAAUCAUAUUAGUGAUGCGAAUGAUAACUCAAAAUCUUUUUAUUCCAUUCAUGAUUAGUAAUCAACCUUCCCCGGCAACGGCGCCAAAAAUGCUUGUUGGGUAUUCUUAACAUCAUUACCAAAAGUAGACUAAGUUCUCUAAAUCUAGUAACGGUGCCAAAAAUGCCAAACCUAUCCCUCACACCACUUAAGCCAAGUUGUCAUCCCCAGCAUGAUAUAAGAGACGCGGUAUUGAAAUAUGCAAUUGCUCUUCUAAAUAAAUAAUGAAUUGGAUCUGCAAGCGCACAGAUUAAUACCGAUGUAGCAUUUUAACCGGGAAGUAUUCCAGGUAUCGUUAUUUAUAUUUUUACCACUGGGAAGGGAUUAGCAAUCAUCACUAUUGAUUACAGAAUAGAAUAUGAGAUUGAGCAUCUAUCAUUGCAUGUAUAAUUGAGAACAUUAUAUCUAACUCUUCAUACAGGGAUAAGUGUCACAUAAAGGAUAUAUGAAAUAAUAAUAGUGACAAAGAUAAUUAAUCUGAUCUAGCCACAUAAUAAAUAUGAUAAGCACCUCAAUUAGAUACUCUAGAAAGUCAUUAGCAUGGUAUUAGAACGAACUACAAGAAUAUUCCCUAAGUUAUUCUCAACUAUAUAGUCUAGCAUAUCAUAGUUAGUGCAAGCAUACUUAGCAAUCAUUGCGAGACAAGACUACGCCCAUGCAUAGUGAUAUUAGCAAGGAAUAUGAGAAACAUAGCAAUCACUCCCCUGUAAUAAUGUUGCUCUGCCAGCCCAAUACACGAGAGGGGGACUAUAUAAGAAUCAAUGAAGCUGUCACUAUCACGAACCACCCCACGAUCUGGCAUAUUGGGUACAAUCGCAGAUAAAUACGGUAUAAGCACCACGCCUACACAAUAUCUAUCAUUUACCCAUGGAUCCGAUGGAUAAACGCUAUACGAUCCUAAGCAUGUAUAUAGAUCCAAUCUAACUAAGCCAAGUACAUAACUAUGAUAAACUAAGAACAAUAUAAUCUUGAAUAUAAGCAAGUAGAGCAAAGUCAUAAGCAAUAUAUUGAAGUAGAACAAAGUCAUAUUCAUAAUAUUGAAGAACAAAGAUAAUUAGAAAGCAAUUAGAAACACAAUUAGAGAAUUACCAAGAAUCCUCUUGACAGAUCCGGAAACCAAUCGAAGAUUGACUCCUUCUAGUUCUAAUCCUAUGUAGCUAUGCUAAUCUAGAUAUCUAAUUGAUGUGGUGGCUCUAAUCUUGAUCAGAGGCUUCUUCUCCCUUGAUGGAACAAUGAAUUAGGGUUGAGAGGCUCUCUCCUCUAGGGGCCAGGGGGUCUGGUUUUAUAGUCCCUUCAAGUGAAUAUGGGCCCUUGGAUCAAACCGACAUAGAUUGUAUGGUUUAGAUUCAUCCUUUAGGUCGGUGGAGAUCUCCCACAAAGCAGAGUCCUGAUUGGACUCAGGAGGUGGGCGGGCGCCCUGACCAACUGGGCGGCCGCCCACGGUCUGGCCCCAUUUCGCCUCCACUUCGGUCUCGUGGCUUCUGGAGUCUUCUAGAUGUAAGAUAAUUGCGCAGCACGUUAAUACCUUUACGUAAUCCUGACAUGUGGGCCUUUCUUCCAUAUUUCCUGAUAACCCCCUGCAGAAAUAGACAAACACCAAAACUCAUGGAAUUCUGUCAGAUAAAACCCUAAGUCUGGAUCUUGAUUUCAUUUGGAUCCUUUUCUUUAUUUAUUUGAUAAUUAAUUUUGAUACUUAAGGACCGUCAACAGCAUCUAUCAUUGCAUGUAUAAUUGAGAACAUUAUAUCUAACUCUUCAUACAGGGAUAAGUGUCACAUAAAGGAUAUAUGAAAUAAUAAUAGUGACAAGGAUAACUAAUCUGAUCUAGCCACAUAAUAAAUAUGAUAAGCACCUCAAUUAGAUACUCUAGAAAGUCAUUAGCAUGGUAUUAGAACGAACUACAAGAAUAUUCCCUAAGUUAUUCUCAACUAUAUAGUCUAGCAUAUCAUAGUUAGUGCAAGCAUACUUAGCAAUCAUUGUGAGACAAGACUACGCCCAUGCAUAGUGAUAUUAGCAAGGAAUAUGAGAAACAUAGCAAUCACUCCCCUGUAAUAAUGUUGCUCUGCUAGCCCAAUACACGAGAGGGGGACUAUAUAAGAAUCAAUGAAGUUGUCACUAUCACGAACCACCCCACGAUCUGGCAUAUUGGGUACAAUCGCAGAUAAAUACGGUAUAAGCACCACGCCUACACAAUAUCUAUCAUUUACCCAUGGAUCCGAUGGAUAAACGCUAUACGAUCCUAAGCAUGUAUAUAGAUCCAAUCUAACUAAGCUAAGUACAUAACUAUGAUAAACUAAGAACAAUAUAAUCUUGAAUAUAAGCAAGUAGAGCAAGGUCAUAAGCAAUAUAUUGAAGUAGAACAAAGUCAUAUUCAUAAUAUUGAAGAACAAAGAUAAUUAGAAAACAAUUAGAAACACAAUUAGAGAAUUACCAAGAAUCCUCUUGACAGAUCCGGAAACCAAUCGAAGAUUGACUCCUUCUAGUUCUAAUCCUAUGUAGCUAUGCUAAUCUAGAUAUCUAAUUGAUGUGGUGGCUCUAAUCUUGAUCAGAGGCUUCUUCUCCCUUGAUGGAACAAUGAAUUAGGGUUGAGAGGCUCUCUCCUCCAGGGGCCAGGGGGUCUGGUUUUAUAGUCCCUUCAAGUGAAUAUGGGCCCUUGGAUCAAACCGACAUAGAUUGUAUGGUUUAGAUUCAUCCUUUAGGUCGGUGGAGACUUCCCGCAAAGCAGAGUCCUGAUUGGACUUGGGAGCAGGGCGGGCGCCCAGUAGGACAGGGCGGGCGCCCUGUCUCUGGCCCUGAUUCGCCUCAGCUUCGGUCUCGUGGCUUCUGGAGUCUUCUAGAUGUAAGAUAAUUGCGCAGCACGUUAAUACCUUUACGUAAUCCUGACAUGUGGGCCUUUCUUCCAUAUUUCCUGAUAACCCCCUGCAGAAAUAGACAAACACCAAAACUCAUGGAAUUCUGUCAGAUAAAACCCUAAGUCUAGAUCUUGAAUUCAUUUGGAUCCUUUUCUUUAUUUAUUUGAUAAUUAAAUUUGAUACUGAAGGACCGUCAACAAACUCCCCCAAGCUUACCUCUUGCUCGUCCCUGAGCAAGGAUAGACUCAGCUAUGGAUCAUAAGUUGUUAAAUAAGAUCUCAUCUCUGAGUUAGAGUAAACUAUCAAGAUUUAAAACUUACUUACUUUACCUACACCAUGGGACUUGUAACCGUCACUUCUGUCUUGAGUGGUUAAAAGAUAGAACAGUCUAGCCAAGUGCCAUGUCUCUUAUUCUUGAUCAGCUAUAACUCUGGGGUUUUUUGCAGAUUUUCAAAUAAAACUCAGAGAUUCCUUGUAUGAUUCUCUCAGGUCUCUCUUUUGUGGUAUUUUUGGAUCCUUACCAAGGCAUUGAUGGUAUAUGCCUUCUCUCAAGAUAUGUAGUAUUUGUGGUAUAAGGCAUAGUGACAUUGCCUUCUCUCUCACCCUACUCUAAUAAGGCUUUAAUAUCUGGAGCUCAUAGGUGGGAGAUAAAGUGCACAUACUUACAAGACAUUUAUUGCAUAGUCAAACCAUGGAUCCAAAGUAACAAGUCAUUAAGCCAAAUCAAGAUGUGCAUGUGUGGCGAAUGAAUGGUGUAUGGUGAUGAUGGUGAUAACAAUGGUGAAAACAAUGGUGGUGGAUGUCUAAUUCUACUUUGCUCUUUGAGGGGAUACAUACCUUCCUUGCUUUUGAAACUUUAUGAGGAGAAUGAGAUGCUCUUCUUUUUCUUGUCUCUCAGGUGGGUAUCUUGCACCCCUAAUUCUACUGUCGGACACUUGUCCAUUUUUACCUCUCGUCUCACUCUUUCUUUUCUUUCGAGGUUCCGAGCACUUGCUCCUUUUUAUUUCCUCGUAUAUUUUUUUAUUUUCUUCUUUUUUCUAGAGCACUCAUCUCUUGAGAUAAUAUAGCAAGUGAUAGUAACAAGAUAACUUGAGCAUUUAUUUCACAAGGGGAAACAGAAAUAUUUUUGGUUAUUCUCUCCUGGAUUAGGAGCAGAAUAUUUUUGGGUGAUUCUGGAGAUGGAAAUGGUUGGAUAUAUGUGGAUGGUACUUCCGGAGUAGAAGUAGCAUAUAUGAGUGAACGUGCAGGUGAAAUCUUGAUUUAACCACAUGACAAGCUCCUAAGGGUCUACACAGCUUGACCACACUCAAUGCUCAUAAGCAGUAAAUAAUAAAUGUGUGGCUCAAAGUCUAGCAAGCAUGUAUAUAUGGCUGUGGUAGGAAUUUAAGCUCUCAUCAUACAGGAACUCAUCAUGCAACAUUUUAAAGAUUUUCAAAGAUAAAAUUCUCCAGAAUUCUAGCAUCUCUAGGAACAGAUAAACAGCAGCUCAACCUUCCCAUAUCGUAUCCGUUAACAACUUAGACUUCAGAUCAAGUUUUCAUCCCACAAGUUUAGGUCUAGGGCAAGCUUUAAAUUAUAACAGUUAUAUCUAAACUUGAGAGAGAACUUAGAAUGUGCAAAUUAGGCAGAGCAACUAUUCAUCAUAUCCAUGCUUAAGUUUUUGUUUAGAUACAGAUUAGCAUAGCCACUUUAUUUAUUUAUUAAACACACUAAGCAAAAGACAUAUAUAAGCAUAAAAUCUUUAUUUGGUUUUCCAAUAGUUUAUGUGUAUUUUAAUAUUCUAAAAUAAUAUAAGUAUAAAAAUAGAUAGAAAUACUUAUCAAGGUAAAUGGGGGUGCUCUCCCCCAAGCUGAAUUUUGACGUAAUUUCUCUUAAUGUAGCUAGCAGGUGGCAGAGGUGUAUUUGAAAGUCAGCAGUAUUCUGACAGCGAUUAGAAUGUCCUCCGUCUGCCAGUCUUCUUGAUUCUUAAAUUCUGUGGAGCUCAAAUAGACAACAAAGCUUGUGGAACUGAUUAAGUGUUAGCAUAAAUAUCUAGCCUUUAUUAUCUUGAGACUCCUCAAUAAAUAUUACUCCCUGUUUUUAUAUUUUUUUAUUUUAUAAAGCAGAAAUGAAAUUUUUAUUUUAUUUUUAUGCCACCACAGUGAAUGUAUUUAUGGGUUUUAUGCCACUCGUAUACUCACAUGGGGCUUACUGUUUUUUCACAUUUUUAUUUUCUUUUUAGGAUAGUGCGAACAUGAUUAACUAAGUAAACUAGUUGAAAUAAUUAAAAGGGAAAGGAUAACUACUAAGUUUACCUCUUGGCAGGGCGUUCGGUGUUUUUAAGUCCUCCGAACGGGACUCUCCAAUUUCUUAAUCGUCCUGAGGUUCGUUGGGUGGCGAAGUCGGUACUUCUGGCAGCGCCUCCUCUUCUUGUAUAGUUAUCUUCAUUUUCCAUACCUGACUCGGUGCUUCAAUCUCCUCUGGACAAUUCUGUUUAAACUCCACGUCUUCUGACCUUACAACUUCUCCUUCAUAGUCUGCCCAUCCGUCCUUGAUGAUCUGCCUCCUCUGGUUGCGGUUGCGUCUCUUUCUGACCUGCUU
rnacentral:lncRNA from 1 species